rnacentral:lncRNA from 1 species
UUCUGGCCUGCCGGUGUGGCCGCCGGCGCCAUGAUGAAGGCCCCAGGCGCCGCCGGAUUCCUCAUCUCACGCGCGGCCUUCCUGGCCAACCCGCAGCUCUACUUCCAUCUCCUGCGCACCGCCGGACCCAAGGCAGCGGCCGCCGCCUUCCUUUAGUAGGGAAGCGCAGCACAUGCAUGCAUGCAUGCAUGUCCCUUCCGUCGAUCUACUGAAGUCAGUGCUGUCUCUGUCUACUAGAAAUGUUCGGUGUGUGUUGAUCUAUCUUAUAUUACUAGUGUACUACUCCAGAUCUGUUGAUCUGCCGCUAGCUAGUUCCUUCUGUCGAUCCUACCGAAGUUCCAUGUAAUGCCCAAGAAGAUGCUGUGUGUGUCAAGUUAUCUUAGUGUGCUCUGUUGAUUUGCAUGUCUCUUAAUUAUGAUCUGUGAUCUAGUAUAUCCUACAACGUCAGGUUGAAGAUGGAUCUAGCAUUUGUGUGCAGCACAUUUGAGGCUGAGCAUCCAGUGUUUUUUCCGGUUCUUUCUUGUGUGACAUUGCGCUGUAAGCAUUAAUUUGCCCGUUUUUCUGUCUGGGUUCUUAGGAGUGUGUGGGCCAGAUGAUCUGUCUCCUUUACGAAAAAGAAACAACUCGUCUUGAUUUCUCGCCUCCAUCUUCUUUUGUUCCUCUCUUUACUGCAGGACAUGUCGUGCUCAUCAGCUUCUCCUCCCUGGAGUAGUGGUUCUAGUUUGUUAACAAUCUCUUCAUAGUUUUGGACAGAUGAGAAAGCAAGGAUUAAUUUCUUUUCUUUAUUAACAGAUCUUUGUAAUGGUUGACAGUUGACACUCGGUUAGCAUGCAAACGUUUCCGAAACUCGGUUAGAAUGUUUGCAUCACAAUAUUGCCGAUGUUUCUUCUCUGAAAAGGAGCGAUGAAGAAAGAUGAAAAGGAUGAAUACACCGUAGUCACUGGCUACUAGCACCAUGCCACUUGCCUGUUUUGGUGACAUUAAAAUAUGUUUCUUAAUUCUAAAAUCAGUGCUUCUUUUCUGAAUGUAGACUUGAGGAUUGUAGCCGUAUAUUUUUCCUGCUCAGUCAUGCACUCAGUUUCCAACAAAGGAUUUGAUCCUGUGUAUUAUUGCUCUAAUUGUUAACUUCGAAAAAUGUAUCAGAUCCAUUGAGCCUCAACCACAAACAAAACAUGAACAAGACCGAAAGGCCAUAGAUGUUUAGUGCAUCAGCAUUGACUAGAUUGCUGAUGCUAGUGCAAGUGUGAGACUGUUAGAACUAUGCCCUGGAGGCAAUAAUAAAAGUUGAUAUUGUUUUAUGGGACAUUUACAUUUGUGCCCAUAACUGGAACCAACUACUCAUAUUUGCCCCUAAUUUCGAAGCAUACCCAAAUCUAUCCCUCUGUCGUUAGUUGCCCUUAUAGAACUGCCCUUUUGCGUCGUUACCGUCCGAUCAAAGGGCUUUGACCAUCUCGAUAAAAUUAGCAGAAAAAUCUGAAAUUUUGUGGGAUCAAAGAUAGUUAGGUGCUUGUCAAUUUUCUUGAUGUUUAGACAUACCAGGAGCAUGUGGCAAUGGAAAACAAUAAAUCUGUACGACUGUGAAUAGUAAAUUCAAAGAAAAUAGCAAGAAAAUUCAAAAAGUACGAAAUUUUUUGGCAUCCAAGAUGCUCGGAUGCGCAAGGUGUGUGCAAUUUUUUUUAUCAAAUGACAUGCAAGGAGCUCUAGCAAAAAAACAAAAUAGUGUAUUUGUUCAAAGUUUUUUCCGAGCCAGAUUUUGUUUUUUUCGCGCGCUCCUACAAUGUCCAAGCACAACAAAAUUUUGCACACACCUUGUGCACCCGAGCAUCUUGGAUGCCAAAAAAAUUCAUACUUUUUUGAAUUUUCUUGCUACCUUUUGAAUUUACUGUUCACAGGCGUACUGAUUUACUGUUUUUCCUUCGCCAUGAGCUCCUAGAGUGUCCAAACAACAUGAAAAUUUGCACGCACCUUGCGCACUUGAGUACCUUCAAUCCCACAAAAUUUCAGAUUUUUUUGCUAUUUUUUCGAGACGGUCAAAGCCCUUUGCCCGGACAUUAAGGGCGCGGAAGGGCAUUUCUAUGAGGGCAACUAAUGGCAGAGGGACAAAUUUGGGCAUGCUUCGAAAUUAGGGGCAAAUCUGACUAGUGGAUUCCAGUUAGGGGCAAAAAUGUAAAUGUCCCUUGUUUUAUUUGCAUGUUCGUAAUUAAGUUUAUAUUUCAAUGCUAGAAUUGCAUUGGUUUUUGAAAGUGAGAUUUAGAGGAAAACCAAAUUUCAUGUUUAGAGAUAUAAACGCGAAACAGAGUUAGACCUCUGGACUUGCUCAUGUAUUGUUGAUGGUUCUGCUUUCAUGGCCAUGUGCAUAGUUAACGUAACGAGGAUGAAAAAAAUGAUCAGAGCAUGUUGUUAGGGUAAUAAUGAUGUUGGAUAGAUCCAUCGUAUUGUAUAACGCGAGUUCGUGUUGUCAAUAUGUUGUAUGUUACUCUAUAACUGGGUAAUUAUAAAGUUAACUUUUGGUAACGCAAGGAAGUAUGUCGUGGUACUAGAUAUGUGAAGACUUAAACUUGCCCCUCCGGCGAUCGAUAUAUACACUCUCAGACCACAUGGUAUUACACUGUCUGGCAUCUCUUGACCAUGUAUUGUGACUAAGGAAUUAGUCAUGUGCAUCCCGAAAUACGAUUACAAGGAAAGAGUACAAACCUGUAAUGAGGAUAACUACGUAUAGUGAUCAAGUAGUUGUCACAACGAUACAAUCAAAGUCUCCCCUCAUGUUUGGUAACGUAUGGAGAGGGAAAGGCAAUUGCAUGCGAUAAAAAAAGUUUUUUUUAUAAAGAUCUACAAUGUUAUGUGGGGAUUAUUGUGCGUGUCCAGAUCUCACUAAUAAUUAUUGACUAGAAGGUGUUACAAACUUGUCCAUGUAGUCUUGAACCUAUAGGGUCACACGCUUAAUGAUUAGCAACAUAUAGGAGUAAUAUGUGAUAAUCAAGAACAAGAUAGAAGGGGUCCAAAAGUAUUUUGAUAAUAUCAAAAUUGUUCCCGGAGGUCCCGAGAGCGUCCCAGUGAUAUCAUGUAGUGUCUCAGAAUGUUCUGUAAGGUGGCGAAAGCUCCAAUAUGUUCCAAAAACCUUUUGAAAAUUCUGGAAGGAUCCUAAUGCCACCUACCCCCUGCCUUGGGGGCAAGGCGGCCCAUAGGGCCCAAGUCGGCCAACCCCCCUAUUUCUUGGGGGGGCAAACCAACAAAAGGGGUGUGCUCCUACAAGGACUCCACCUCCAUAGGUCGGAUGAAACCCUCACCCCUCCACCUAUAUAUAGGUGUGGGCGCAUCAAGAGAAGUUUGGUACACGCACUCACCCCUAUGGACACAUGUACGAACACCCUACACAUAUAAGCAGCUUCAAGAUAUUGAGGGAAUAACAUCUUGAGAUUAAUGCGAGCAUUAGUGUCAAGAACAUCACUUGAACCCUUGUGGGCUGACUUCACCACCAGGAACCUAACCAUCUAAGCUAUGUCCAUUAUUACCUAUAGUAUUGUCACAAAUAAGACAUCACUGAUGAAGUACCACAACAUGAACCUGAUGCGGCGAUACAUUGCUGUGCAAUCCACAAACUCUUGUCGUUUCAGUCCUGUCACACUGUCCUGAUUGUUCCACAAACCAACACAAAUCAGAGAAUAAACUCUGGAAAUCAGAAACACGAGUGCCAUAACCAAAAAAAAAUCACCCGAGCAAUAUUUAGCAAAUCCCUUCGGUACCAUUAUUUAGAUUGGAGCUUUUCAACUCCAUUUUGAGAUUGACCACAUUUAAAUUUGGACUUAUCAGGUGAUUAACUUUGUUUUUUUUUUGCUUGAGAAACACAAUGCAGACAUAGACACUCACAUAUAUGCAUGUACAAUUAUAACCCUAUAAAGACACACACCACUGGCACUUGGGCACAUAGGUGUCAAACAUGUAGUUUGAUCCAUGGUGUGCUAGGGGUACAACCAUCCGCCUAAUCAUCCAACCACAAAAUGAUUCUCGGUAUUGGCAUAAUUAUGGGUGGGUUUGCAAACUGAAAAAAAAAAGCAUGCUCUACCUUUGUCUAAUCAAACAGCUCGCCAGCCAAAUAAAUCUGGAAUGGAGGGAUAACAACGGUCGAUCCUAUCCAUCUUUAUCCAUGAGGUUUCAUCCUGAUGAUGAUAUAGAGCAUGUGGGUAAUCUCAAAAAAAAAUCUAUAGCAUGUGAGAUUUUAUCUUUAAUGUCCUGCUACCAAAGAUUUGCCAUCGUGGAUAAUUUCCUAAUUAGCAUCCUUAUAUUAGCCACCUUUGGAAUCCAAUAAUCUUAUUCUAAAUUUGGGAGCCUGUCUUAAAACUCAUCCUUAUCUUUGAGGAGUCAUCCGGAUGAUAUCAUGAUUUGACCACGAUUUUAUAUGGCACGUUGUUAAUGCUCCAAUUGAAUUCCUUCCAUCUGCGUUAUUCGGGAAACCUGCUGCUCAGGACUACAAAUAGGAGGGAGCGAGCAAGACAUCCAUACCACACUCGUUUCUCGCAUCACAAGGUCGUUGGCCCCGUAGCACAAGCGAGUUCAUCACAAAACCAGCUGCAAAGGCUCGACGGCGAUGGCUUCCAAGAUGGUCGGCGCCCUCUUGCUGGUCCUCCUGCUGGCGCUCAACCAGAGCGACGCCCAGGUGUUGCCGACCCCCUGCUGCAACCUCAAGUGCUGUGGGUACGAUUGCUGCGGGCCCCCGGUCACAGCCACGGCACCCAUUUCGCCAUUCUCCGCCGCCCCCGAAGCAGGACCGGCCGGCCCGGUUUCGCAGCGCGUGCUCCGCAAGGUCUUCCCCGGAAACUAGCGAUGUUCAGAUGCAUGUAGCGAUGCCCCCCGUGACGUAUGAUUCCAUUGCAAGUGUGCUACUGGCACCUAGCUAGUUUCGCUGGUAUUACGUAUUAUUUUUAGCUUGUAUUCCUGAUUUGUUCUGUUCCAUCGAAACAGCAAUAUAGGAGUUUAUAUCCUGCAGUAGCAUUCCAAUUCUACAGCUAUAAUGUGUGUGCAAUGAUAAACCAUGUUCGAAACACAAAUAAUCCACCCAUCCUUCAGAAGAACAGAACGCAUAAUCCUCCAAUUAAAUCUGCCGAACCUGAAUCAGCUAUAGCUGCUCUAGUCUGGAUCAGUCCUUCAUCUCGGCUGCCUUCUCGUCUCCCAGAACAAUAUUGUUUCCUAAAAAGUAGUCAUACAUGUUCCCUUUAGGUGGACAAAAUUCAUAACCGGUUUAGCAACUGCGCCUACUAAAAAUAGCUUAGGAUAGGUUUUUACCCCUUUUUCUUGAAAAAAAUAUAUUUUUGAAUGUGGCCUCAGUGCUCAUACAACCAUAAGGCGUUUGAAUGUGGUCAAUCCCAAGGUUUCCCCAAAAAAGUUUUUGUCGAAGUGUGCAUGCGAGGUUAUAGAUUGUUUUGUCCCUAAUGUGAUUUUGUUGAUGUGUUGAUUUCCAAUCUGGAUCUACAUCGGUACGAAACAAAGGCGAAUUGUGAGCUAUUGAUUAAGGUUGCAUACUAAAUAACACUUAAAAAUGUUUCACAGCUAACCAACAUCAUUUGAAAAUUCUACACAUUUUUCUAAUCAACUUUUCAUAUAUAACAUGUCAAAAUUGAAGUUACGGUUCUUAAGUUAUUGAUACUUUUAAAAAGUAUUUGAAUCUGCCCCCAAAAUAUAAUGUUAUUUUCUAGAUGGACUAAGGGUUUAUUAAAUGAAAUAUCAGGGAGUUUUAUACAAAAAGUAAAACAUUUUCUGGUGUCACUUAAAACAGGAUUGUGGGUUUACCAUUUUCAUUGCAAAAAGCUUUUUCUUUGCGGGAUGAUAGCCAUGCACGUUCCCUUUAGAUGGCCCAAAUUUAUGGCCGGUUUAGGAACUACGCCUACUAAAAAUAGCUUAGGAUGGGUUUUAACCUUUUUUUUCUUGAAAAAAAAUAUGUUUUUGGUUCCUCAAAUUUGCCGAAAUUAUAGAUCUGGUCCGUCAAAAAAUGUAGAAACAAAACAUAUAAUUUAAAAAAGUUAAUCAUAUACUCCCUCCGUCCCAAAAUUGUUACAUCCGUAUCUAGACAAAUCUAAGACAAGAACUUUGGGACGGAGGGAGUAUAUAAGAAAGGUCAAAACUAUAUGUAAAAUGUUUUAGAUGUAUACUAAAAAUGUACAAUAUAUGAAAACAAUAGUUAUCAAAACAUAUAUCUGAAAAAAUGGUAAUCAUUUAUUUGAAAAAAUGUUAAACAUAUAUUAAAAAAUGUUUUACAUAUAACUAAAAUGUUUGAUGUAUAAAAAAUAUAUAAUAUGUACAAAAAUGUAGGCAUGUGUUUAAAAAAUAAAAAUAAUAAGAAAGAAACAAAGAAAACAGAAAAGGAAAACAAGAAAAUCGGAGAAAAAGUGCAAAAAAGAAAAGGGAGACAAGAAAAAAUUUGGGAAAAAAUGGAAAGGAACAAAGCAAAGAAAACGAAGAAACAAAUCAGUGAAAAUCGAGAAAGAAACAAAUAAAAUGGUAAACCGCAAAGUAAAAAAGAACAACAAAGAAAACCGACAAAGAAACAAAUAAAACUGGAGUAAAACAAAGAUAAAAAGUUGAAACAGUGAAAACCGAUGCAAAAGCAGUGAAAAACAACCAAAAACAAAAGCAAAGAAAAACAGUAAGGAAACAACAGAUAAACCGAGAAAACCAGUAAAGAAAACAAGAAACCAAAGCAGGGAAAAAUCGAAACAAAACAACAGCGACCAAACGAAACGCAUGACCGGGAAAACAGCAACGCCCGAAUGAAUGUACUUAGCCGACGCAUACGCGUGGGUGUUGUGGGCGAGGGGAGCUACCAUCUCGCUAUAAGUGAGAUAUAGCUUGUGCGGAAUUUUCUUACUAAACACUAGUAUUCCUCCCGACGCGUUGCGACCCUAUUCGCUGUCCAAUAGGCUUUGUAAAUAAUUAUUCUGGUUAUAAAAGCAUACGGGAAAUAGAGGAUGCUCCUUCAUCUCAAUAAAAGUGCUCAUAUGGCAGGCCCACGUGCCAAAGUGAAUUUUUGAAAUAUUCUUCUUUAUUUGAUUAAGUAGAGGGAAUCUACUGUUAUCACCCUUUGCAUGCAUGAAUUCUCUUGUGGAUAGAGUCGGGCGCACCAUAAGACUAAAAUGGGCACACGCCCCAAACAUUCAUGAUGAAAUUUGAAUGGUAGAAAACCAAAGUACUCCUUCCUUUUUAUUUACUCUGCAUAUUAGGUUUAACUAAAGUCAAACUUAAGUUUGACCAACUUUACAAAAAAAUAUACUUUUACCUUAAUGAAAAUAUAUGAUGUGAAAGUACAUUCAAUAGUGAAUCUAAUGGUAUUAAUCUGUUAUUGUAUAUGUUAAUAUUUUUUGGCCGUUUUUUCCUUACUGCUUUUCUUUGCUCGAAACUUCUAUUGCACACUGGCACUUGAUUUGUUUAUAAACUUUGUCAAAGUUUAUUAGCUUUGGUCCAUAUUAGCUUUUGUUCAACCCAGCUCGAAACUUCACUUGAACACCGGCACUUGCUUAAUUUUGCCUGCUAUGAAGUUAGAUACUGAACUAUGGCAGGAUAUUUGCACAGUUCUGUGGUAUUGAGUCUAUGAGAUUUUGCAGAUGGUGCGAUAUGGCUUCAAUCUGAACGUCCCUCCAUAUCCGUGAGAGUAGGGAAUCUCUAGCUGUGAACACUACCUGAAUCAUACCCUACGCCGCGGCAAAGGGCCUAAAACACUCGGCAAAGUCUUUGCCGAGAAUUGUUCUCGGCAAAGUCUUUGCCGAGAAUUGUUCUCGGCAAAGGCCACUCGAUGUCCCACGUCCAACGCCGAGUGGAUGCUUUGCCGAGAUCUCCUCUCGGCAAAGCUAACGAUUAGCAAACCAGCCACGUGUCCACCACCUGACUGGCGGGUCCCACUACCUAUGCCGAGCAUCAACUUUGAAGAUUAUACAAUUUCCACUUUACCACUAUUUAUAAAAAUGUAGUCAAUGUUAGAAAAGUUUGACUGUGUCAUUCUACAAAGUAUAUUCUUUCACUAUGGCGAAUAUAGGGGGAACUGCAGAAUCCUCAAGCAGGAUUUUCAUGGGAAAACCCCAGCUUUCCUCUGGUUCUGUCAUCCUCUCGAUUCCUGAUUGUGUGGGCAUGAUUCAUAACAAGAGCAUCCUUAUGUACUCCUCAAGGACGGGGAGCGUCUGCCCUUCGCCGUAGCCAAAGAGGACCCUCACCAUCCUCGCGAGGUUUAGCGAGAUCCGGGUCAUGCUGGGCGGGAAUGUCCUCCUGGAGAAGCACUCCCUGUUGAGCUCCCCCCACUCACUCUCGAUCAGCGCCAGCAUAUGCCCCUUCGCGUCGCCACCGGGGUUCUCUUUCAGGUACAACUCCUUGUAUGAUCCGUCCAGGCCAUCUUGCGCUUCGUCCUGCAUGGUGCAAGAAUGGUGAUCAUGUUAUGGUAUCUUAAACCAGUGGGGCUAAGAUUCAUUAGAAAUUCUAGGUUUCUAAUUAAGCAGGGGGGUAAUUUCAGCAGUUGGAAUCUGACCUUGGCACUGCCCAUGUCAUCCCAAAGUCUCAAGAUCUUUGACGGGCAGGAGAUUAUCGGAGGGAUACGGCCGGCCGUGAGGUUUGUAGCAUCCCUUGUUGGAUCAUGUCCUAGCAUGGAAAAGAGAUGCACAAGUGCAAGUGGUCCUCCUGUAGUGAUGACGCCGUUCGAUAGGUAGUCAUCUAGGGAAGGAACAUGAUUAGCAGACAACCAUUUCGCCUCAAGCAAAAAUGCAUCGAAAAGCAUGGCCCACUGCAAAAGAAAAAUGAAUUCACUAUUUUCAGUUGAUUAUUAUUUUCCUUUUUUUAAUAUAUUUAUACAUGAACUUAAAUAUUCUCAAAUAUUAUAUAUUGGAUAGAUACAUAUGUUGCUCGUCCAACAAACAAUUUAGUUGGUUAUCUAGACAAAUCAGGAAAUCUAAAAGAAUAAAGAUAUUCCAAGAGACAUACAUCUUUUUUGAGAUGAUCAAUAGGGUUCAGCCCAUGUUCUCUUUCAGCCAUAUCUGCGAUGUCAUUUGUGAUUGUAUAAAGAGAACUGUAGCAUGAUCUCAUGUAGCUUGGAAGUGAUGCAGCAGCUGCAAGAUCCCACCUGUAAGAAAUGCAUUUUCUAACAUGAAAUUUCGGUUACACAAUACUGACAGUUACUGUUGAUCAUAAACAGCGAGAUGAAUUUAUAGUAGCCAGAAAGGAAAAGCCUACGUUCUGAUUGCCUCGGUGAAGCGAGAAAGCUCCUCUUGUGUUGCAACAACAUCAAAGAUGUCAUCCACAAUACUGACAAUUGCAAUGAUUUUGGUUAUCUCAAUCCGGUAUCUGGAGAAGGAUUGCCCCUGGAGGAUAGUCAUGGGAAACAUGUACCAUUUAAGAAUUUGGUCACGCGUAGCUGGUAUUUCUUGAGCCAAUCCCAGGCCCAUCCACCAUCUGUCACAAUGACAUUUAGAAGUUAAAGAAGAAAUUUGUCAAUACCCCCAAAGAUAGGUAUAAAAUGGAGAAUGUUAUCUAAUGUGAAGAUGGUAAAUCAACUUGGAAGACAGAUUAGGUACUAAUUUUCAACUCAGUGGUCUUUGUGAUGGACCUGAGAAGAAACAAAUGCUCUAGCCACAUUCCUCUUCUGGGAGCUGCAGAUAAAACAUAAAGUUUGCAAGGAAUGAACUUAUAUAUGUACCUCUUAACCUCUUGCAUUUCCAUCUGAUGCUGCAACUUGUUAAGCUUGAAGUCUGCAAGUGCCAGCUCCUCCAUUGCAGUGUUCCGAGUGGGCAAGCUCUGGAGAUAGCUCAGGUGGUGUCUAGCCUUGUACUGCAUCAGGCUCACAUGGUAGGGAUGAUCCAGUGAAUGCCUCACAUAUCUUGCAAGGUUUAGGUCCAAGUGUUUAAUUGCAGAAGUGAGGUGUUUCCUUGAGAAGUCAUUUGCCUUGUAUAGUGAUGCUUCUCCCAUGUUCAAGUGUGAUAUGUCCUGCAAGCUGAGCAACCCUCUGAUGUCUUUGGUAUGAUCAACGUUGAAGUCCUCGUUUUCAUUGACAAACUUUUGAAGAACCUCAUCUACCACAUCAAGGAUAAAGGUUUUUAGGAAUAUAAACUGUGGUUGCAAUAACAGGGCGAAAAUAAAUUUUACUUUCAGACACACAAGGGGUUGAGACAAGGGGAUUCCAUGUCUCCUCUCCAAUUUAAUAUAGUGGCCGAUAUGUUGACCAUUCUUAUAGGCAGGGCCAAGCAAAACGGUCAAGUGGAUGGGCUAGUACCUUGUUUGGUCGAUGGGGGAGUCUCCAUUUUACAAUAUGCUUACAACACUAUCUGUUCAUGAAACAUGACAUUGCAAAAGCGCAAAAUAUGAAACUCAUAUUAUGUCUUCGAACAUUGUCUGGAUUAAAAAUAAAUUUUCACAAGAGCGAGUUGUUCUGCCUUGAAGGCCAAAGAAGAGCAAGACACAUAUAGACAAUUGUUUGGGUGUGAAUUAGUUUCUUUACCUUUCAGCUAUUUGUGCAUACUGAUUCAUCACCGUAAGAUAUCUAAUAAAGAAUGGAAGUGCAUUGAAGAUCGAAUUGAAAAAUAGCUUAGUUGCUGGAAGGGCAAGCUAAUGUCGUAUGGAGGUCGGCUAGUGUUGAUAAACUCAGUACUUACUAGUAUGCCGAUGUUCCUAUUAUCUUUCUUCGAGGUACCAAAAGGGGUGUGGAAGAGACUUGACUUCUUUAGAUCUCGAUUCUUCUGGCAGUCAGAUGAGGCCAAGAAGAAAUACCGUCUCGCACGAUGGGAUAUUCUAUGCCGACCCAAGGACCAGGGGGGUCUCGGUAUUGAAAACCUGGAAGUUAAGAAUAAAUGUCUUAUGAGUAAAUGGCUCUACAGGUUAGAGACAGAGCCGGAGGGUAUGUGGGCAUAGAUAUUACGCAAUAAAUAUCUACAAUCAAAAACGCUAGCCCAGGUCACCGUGAGACCAACUGACUCGCCAUUCUGGAAGGGAUUCGUGUGAACGAAAGAUUUGUUCUUUCGUAGGGUCAAAUUCGUGGUUGGCAAUGAGAUGUCAACAAGAUUUUGGGAGGAUACGUGGUUAGGGGAGACGCCACUAGCCAUACAGUACCCCACCCUAUAUAACAUUGUGCAACGUAAGGAGGAUUACAUAGGCACCAUACUUCAAUCGACUCCCUUGAAUAUUCAGUUCAGACGUGCGUUAGUUAGUGAGCGAUGGACUACCUGGAUGCACUUGGUCCGGAGAUUGAUAGAUGUUCAACUAUCCGACCAACCAGAUUCGAUGCACUGGAAGUUAGCCAGAAAUGGGGUGUUUACGGUGAAAUCUUUUUACAUGGAUCUGACUAAUUCUGGACCAAUCUUGAGAUCGUUACAUAUUUGGAAGGUUAAGGUUCCCUUGCGUAUUAAAAUAUUUAUGUGGUUCAUUCACAAACAAAUGAUCCUAACCAAAGAUAACUUAAUAAAGAGGCGGUGGGUAGGUAGUUCACGUUGUUGUUUUUGUGAUCAUGUUGAAACAAUACAACACUUAUUCAUAGAGUGCCCAUUCGCGAAAUUGCUUUGGAGAACGAUCCAUAUAGCCUUUAACAUCACUCCUCCAGUUGACAUUGAAUUGUUAGUUGGGACGUGGUUAGCUGGGGUGGAGCAUAUUACUGCGAUUGAUAUUCGGAUUGAAAUAUGUGCGCUUCUUUGGGCUAUAUGGAAUUGCAGGAAUGAUAUGAUUUUUAACAGACAACCUAAUCUAACUUUCUUGCAGGUCAUCUUCAGAGCUACUGUAUGGAUCCGUACGUGGUCCUUACUCACUCCUACGGACUUCAGGGAGCCUUUGGUUACUAGGUGCAACCAGUGGGAGAUGGUAGCACGGGCUAUAUUCAACCAGUUCAGAUGGCGGUUGCAUAACAAGAUAGGAGUCUAGGGAGCUUGUCCUUUACAUUGUCAUACCUGUUGUAAUAUUGAACAUUCGCUUCUUUUUUCCUUUUUCGCUCCGCUUGCGAGCUGUAAUACUUUUAUGACUUUGUGCUACUUCGAGACUUCUUAAUAAAAUGGCUGCAUGCAUCAUCCGAUGCGGAGGCCGGGGCCGAGCCUCCAUUUUCAAAAAAGGGCAAAAAUAAAUUUAAUUCGAUAUGUGGAUUAGUCACAACUAGCUAGAACAACUUCUGGACCCUGACAAAAAAAGCGUACUAUUCUGCAUGACAAAUUCAUGACCAAUGAAUCAAAAGCCCUCGAGAAGGUCGCAAAUCCUCAGAGUUCCCACAUCCUCUAGACCAGUCAUUCCUCUACGCAAGGUCAGUCACCACUCACCACGCACCACCACAGGAGAGUGCCAGCAAGCCAAGAUUUUAGGUGUGACAGCCAUUGCCGAGAAGGAACAUGCCCCACAUGGCAAAGUUUUUUAUCUUUUUAUAGUAAAUUAUGAUUUUGAACUAUCUUAUAAAUCUUGUACUGAAUUUGAAGACCAUGAACAGUAAAAAUGACUUGGGCCCAUGAACACCGUAAACAAAAUGAGGGAUCAUUUCUAUACUAUCGAAAAAUAUAUGAUAAGUGUACUAACCUGCUGAAAUAUCAUAUCCAUCUUCUCUCAGUAGCCUGAAGGAAAGUGUUGCAUCUAGUAGAUCAUCACUGUCAACAAGAUUCAAGCACGCAUCCAUGCCAUCAUUGAUCUCGUUUUGGAAAUAGUGGUCGAUGCAGAGGCGCUUGAGGUGAUCAAUAUCAGUCAUCACCUUCCUCUUUUCCUUAUGGUUUUGAUGCAGCAUUUCCUUAACACUCUUCAGGCCCUCCUGUUAUUCCAUGGAGAGAGAAAAAAAAUUAAAAUGCAAAAAUGGGAGAUAUGGGAGACUUUAUGUUUCACUUUGCGAGGCUAAUUCUUCUAUUCAUCAAAGGGGAAAAAACAGGCUACUUUCCUAUCUUCUCCAAGGCUUAUAGCAGCGCAGUUAGUCAGUUCUUUUCCGAGUAAUUCAGUUAGUCAGAAAUUUAAAUGGUUAGAAAAAAUAUAUCUAAUUCAAUAACAAGCCUUAAAGUCACAUUGGAGAACUGAUGGUGAUGUGAAUAAAUUUCUACCAAGAAUAAAAGCUCUCAGUUCAUCUUGGUAGUCCAGAUAAAUAGGGGGUGUCUGCUAAGUCCAGAUGAGACGUGCGGAGGCUGGUUAAGCCGGAGAAAUAGAAAAACUAGGGCGUUUGAGCGCCAGGGGUACGCGGCUAAGUUUUUUUUACCGGAGCUGGGAGCUACCUGUGGAGAAUCUACCAUUCACUUGGUUUCUCUGAGAUUCGUGCCAGCCUUUUGUGUAUAAAGUAAAAAUAAUUUGCUAUGCAAUACAGACAUUAGACAAAGGAAUACAUCUAUGCAUGUGAGAUGUGUGACAACUUUUGAUGUGACAGGACUGGGUGACUGAUGAAGAGGACGGCGCAUGGGUUCUCUGCCCCAAACAAAAUAGUUGCAUUUUAUUUCCUGGUCAUAUUUUGAAUGGUUAAUAACUAUGAACCAAAUUUCAGUAAUUGAAUUUUUUUUGUACAUUUGAAGUCAGGGUGAUAAGACCUUUAAAACAAGACCGGUCUUGAAUACAAUUUGGCUAGAUUGAAUUUUACUGUUUCAAUUAGUUUCACAUUGCAAAAAGUACGAUUUUAUUCAUUUCAAUAAACAGAGUUUACUCAUUCCAAAAAAAAUAUUUCACUACUUUGAAAAUACAGAUUUCACUCAUUUACAAAUUGAUUUCAUAUAUAUAUCAAUAAGCUGGUAUAUAAUUUUUCAGAAAUAUAAUAUUUCAAGAAACUAAUUUCAGAAAACAUAUUACGCUCACUCAAUUGAAAUACUAUAUUUCACUUGUUUCAAAAAAGUGAUUUCACUCAUUACAAAAGAUAGAUUUCACUCAUUUUAGUAGUUUCAGAAAACUACUACACUCACAAUAUACACACUGAAAUAAGCGGUUUCCCUGAUUUCACUCAUUUGAAAGUACAAUUUUUGCUUGUUUCAUUUGAAAAGAAGUGCUUGAAUUAUUUCACUCAUUUUAGAGGACCGAUUUCAGUCCUUAUAAAAGAUUGAUUUUCAAUCGUUUUGACUUAAAAUAUAUGUUUCAAUUCCUUGAAAUGAUUUAUAUCUAUGAACUUAUGAAUUUUAUUUUUUGGACUAAGUGAAAUCUAUAAAACGAGAUAUUUUUUUGAGAAUGUGAAACACCUUAUUUUUAAAUCUAGUUGAAAAAUAUUCAAUAUUGAACUUGUUCUGUAUAUCAUGUUGCAAGGAAUUUGAAUAUAUAUAAAAAAUUCAGUAAUGGAUUUUUGUGAAAGACAGUGACCAUCUAAAAUUGUAAGCAAAAAUAAAAAGAUGCAUUUGUUUGAAAGGGCAGAGAGAGGAAAGAAGUUGCAUGCAUGCGUACGGUAUGCUGACAGAAGUAGUACCUGUAGCUGACAUACUAGUGCAAAGUGGUGAAAAGAGGUGGGCCAGCCAUCUGACAUACAACAGUGUUAUACAAGAGGUGGGUUAUGAAAAUAAAAAUGCUAUACUAGAGGUGGGCCACAUAAAUGCACGAAACGCAAACAAGACGAACGAUGGAUGCAUGGUUUGCCGGUACCUCCAGGAACCGGUAAAAAGAGGUUUGCGCGGGGGUACAUCGCCCCAAAAAAUUUCUCUUGUCUCGUGCACUUAUUCUUCUACCUUCGUAUAGGGUUAGACCCAACAGCCCAAACUUCGCGUGCCCAUGGCCACGAGGAACGAGGACGGCCGCGCGUUGCUGAUGGCCAGGAGGGGGGACUCGAUAUGGAGGAGAGGGAGGGAGGACGAGGAGACCGCAUAAGGCGCUGGAUUUGAGAGAGGAGAGAUUUUGGGGAGAUGAGACGGGAGAAUGGAUUUGUGUGAUUUGGAAGAGUCGAGGAGAAAGUGAGGGGAGAACAAAGAAUAGAAACCAAGGGGGAGAUAUUUUCUUUUUCUUUUUUUUAAAUCAAGAUAUUCUCUUUCUACUGGUGAUAAGGGCAUCUUCAACGGUGAACGCUUGUUGAGGCUUUUACAUGAUAGGAAAUGUACGGGAAAUGAUUGGGAUCAGCCGACGGAUAACGACGCGUGUGAUCCACCGCCACUGUGGCCGUUAGAUCAGGUUUUAAUCAGAUGGCUAGAAGCAACGUAUUACCUAGACUAGUUUUUGCAACUAAAGUCGUUCUUGCAAUCUCCCCCGCCGCAAAAACUGUUGUGUUGUGGGAUCUGGAUCCCCUCGACAUUGGCCACCACCCGUGCACCUCGCAAGAUCCCCAUCAAGCCAACUCUGUCUCGUGCUGCUUCGACCGCCGUCAUCGACGUUCGCCACCGGCAGCAUGCCGACAAGGUCGCGGGCGUGACCGCAGCCGUUGCCGCCCACCUCCACCAUGAAUGUUGGACGUCCUGGUGCGCCCGAACUCAAGCUGCAUCCCGCCGCCCAGUGGGAGCACCAGCAUCUGUGUCCUUGGGGGGGAGUUACGUCCACCUUCGCCCCACCGUCCCGAAGGAGCACCAGCCUUUCCUUAGGUCGACAUGGUCGAUGCUCUCUACAACCAGUUUCAGCAAUAAGGUAUGUUGCAAAAAAAAACUGUAACAAGACCUAUGUUGCAAAAUAAAUAGAUUUCAACAAGACCUUUGUUCCAAAAAAAAAUGCAACAAGACAUCUGUUGCAAAAAAACUGUAACAAGACAUAUGUUGCAAAAAAUAAUCGGCAACUUGAGCUAUGUUACAAAAAUUUCCGUAACAUAACCCCAACACGACAUGUGUUGCAAUGGUAGAAGGUUAAUCUUGGGCGCUCCAGAUUUGACGGCUCGUAAGGCGGCAGAUCUUUUAAAAAGAUCCAUGGGCCGACUGUGUAGGGUGUCCAUCCCUCCAACGCCAAUAGCAAUCUAUAGAUGGCCCAUGAUUUAUGAAAAAAGAAAAAAAGAAAACAGAAGCGCUCGAUGCCUUGCGCGGCAUUGACGCAAGCGAGAUUCCCUGUCUAGGGUGGGAAUCGGGCAUAACUGCCGGGAAAUCAACCUUGGUGUCGAUCGUUAGCAUCCGCGUUGUAAAUGCCCUAGGAGGAUGGAUUUGACCCUAAAGAAAGAUGGAUUUGGAUUUGGUUCCAGAUGUUACAAAUUUCUGUUUGGAAAUUCGGGGCCGCUCCAAUAUCCGAAAUUUGAAAAGAGUUUCAGAAAACAUAAUUCAAAAGAAUAAAAUAUGACCAAAAUCCAGUAGAGUUUUUGAAAACCGUGCAUCUUUGGUAAAAUGAAUCAUGUUCAUUGGAAGGGUCAACUUUCCAAGGGGCGUGCUAUUUGGCGGGCGCCCGCCAAAUUCCAUACUCAGCGGCCAAUCAAGUUUAGAAGUGAAUUUUUUCUUCAAAAAAAGUUUAGAAGUGUUUUUUGUUUAUUAUUGAAAUAAUAAUUGACAGAAAUAAAAGUAUUUUGGUUGUUUUUCUGUGAGGAAAUUUUGGUUGGGCUUCAUAGAUUCGCUAGUAAAAUCCUUCCAAAUAACAACCGUGUAAGCGAUAGUCUGGUUGCAUACCCCUUCGCUCUUGUACGCCAGGGCACCCUAUGCGCCUCCGUCGAUCGAUCUCGUGGUCUUAGUUCCAAGGAAGCGCGGUGGAUCUCGGCAGUUGCCGGCGGGAGGGCUUUGUUUUCAGAUGGUUUUUUAGUUUUGUUAGGCUUUGUGUACUACUCGGAGAGGGGAGGCGACGGCUCUCAGAAGAUGGAAUAAGGUCCUCCCAGCCUAACCCUCAUCUGGGUGGUGUUUCUAGCAUCAUCGAAGGGCAUGUGAAGGUUUCUCUCUGGCGGAUCUCAUGGGAUUAAGUCGGUGUUUGUCUUCCUGGAUCCACGUGGAUACGAUCUUCAUUCGUUUGUGUUCAUGUGCCUGCAAGUUGGAUCCUUCUGAUCUACACAUCUCUUCAUCGGCGGCGGUUGUUGACCUAGUGCGCUGGUCCAGUGGGGCUUUAUCAUGACGACUUCCCGACUGUCUACUACAACAAGAUUUGUCUGCCUCCCAUGAGGGAGGGGCGAUGACGGCGGCAUGCCUUCGGCUUGUUCCAGUGCAUGUAGUCGUCGCUAGGUGGUCUACGAACCUGGGUGUACUUUUUACUUCUAGUACUAUGUACUACGUUAACAGUUCAUGAAUAGAUUGAAAGUUUUUCACGCAAGAAAACCGUGUAAAAAAACAAAGUAUUGCAACCAGCGGCAGCUAGUAAUUUUUCUUAUUUUAGCAUAUAUGUAGUCUCUCUGUUCACGGAUAUAAGAUGUUUGAACUUUUACUGAGUCGGGUGUAUAUAGACAUCAGGGACGGGCCCAUAGUUGUGCGGGACUGUAUGGCCCACACAGGGCCCAUAGAUUUUGGGGGGCCCAAAUUGGUAUAAGGCCUAUGUAUAUUUUCUUCCUGCCGCGUCCAAGCGGCCUGCUCGAUGCCCCCCAAACGGGAUCCAUCGCAUCCUAUCCAGAGCUGGAGUUCCUAUGCGCCGCUCGUUGCGUGAAAAAUCCCCAAAAAGUCUGCUCGAGGGAGGGAUCAAACCAGGGACCUCCUGUUGCUUAUGCGCGAGCCUAGCCAACGGGAUAGAUGAGCUUCUUCGUGUACUAUGGCGUGUGAAGCUAAUGGUAAUAUAGAUCCGAGCAUUUUGUCAAAUUCUGAAGGCGAACAUUAUUUUGGAAAUAUGUUUUUUCAAAGGGACCACUUUUCAACUUUGAGAAGAAGAAAAAAAGCUCGAACAUUUCUUGAUAAACUGAACACUUUUUUGAAAAUGGCGAACAUUAUUGAAUAUGUGAAUAAAUUCUCAUUAAAGGCGACAUUUUUUGAAACUCUGGACAAUAAUUUGGAAACACGAAUAGUUUUGGAAUCGGUCAACAAUUUUUGAAACAAGAACAUUUUUUCAAACUCAGGACAAAAUUUGAAAAUGAAAACAUUUUAUAAAAUUCGAACAUUUUUUAAAAUUUUGAACAUUUUUUUAGAAAUAUGAACAGUUUAUCAAAUCAAGAAUGUUUUUUAGAACUCUGAUAUAUUCUAAAAAGGAAAAAGGAACAGGAGAAAAUAAGCAGAAAAACGAGAAAAGAAGAUGAACAUUUUUCAAAUUCGUUAGCAUUUUUUAAAAAGUCGAACAUUUUUUGAAAUUCCCAAACAAAAUUAGAAACAGACACAUUCUUGAAAGUUACGAACAAAAUUUGAAAUAGAAACAAUUUUUGAAACAACCAAAUAAAAUUGGAAAACAUGAACAUUUUUCUCAAAUUUGCGAAUGAAUUUUGAAAGAGGAACAUUUUUUACGAACUCCUAAACAAAACUUGAAAAUAUGAACAUUUUUUGAAUUUUGUGAACAAAAUUUUAGAACUAUGAAUAUUUUGAAUUUGUGAACAAAAUUUGGUAAGUAGAAUAAAAUUUUGAAAGAAAGGAAUUUCGAUAGCAUGAGCAGUUUUUAAAAUUGAAGAAUUUUUUUGAAAAUUUAGAACCUUUUUAAAAAUCUCAAACGUUUGGAAAUUCAAACAUUUUUUCAAUACAUGAACAAUAUUUUGAAAACCGGAACACAUUUUUUAAACUUUGAACAUAUUUUUUGAUAAGCGAACAAUUUUUUUAACUUCAAAAAUUUUUGUAAAGAACGAAUAGUUUUUACAUGCAGACAAAAUUUUAAUAGUUUGAAUAUUUUUAAAAUUAUGAAAAAUGAAAAACUGAAGAGGAGGAAAAAUAAAGAAAAGAAACAGAAAGAAAAGGAUGAAAAAAGAAAACUUGUAAAGGUAGAAAAGGAAAAGAUAGAGAAGAAAUAAUAAACAGGAAAAAGGAAAAAAAAGACGAAACAGAAACAGAAAAAAAGUGUUAGGAAGCUUCUAGAAGGUUCCCAAAACCGGAAAAAACGGCUGGGAACAAGCGAGAAGGUUCCUAAAACCGGAACAUCGAAACAUUUUACAGGCCGGCCCACGCGCGAACCCUCGAUCGAUCUCCCUGUGCGUCCGCCGGACAACUUGCGGCAGCGAGCGGCAUUCCAUCCAGAGGCAGCCAACGAUUGCCGCCCUCAAAAGAUUCAGCGUAGCGCUGGGUUUUUUUCCGCACUAAUUAUGUGUUGUACUAUGGCAGAAGAUAUAAUUACUUUAUGCCCAGCCAUAAUUACCUUCAUGUGCUGUGUACUGAAGCCCAAAACAGCCCACGCGCAUUAUCCUGUAUUUAGGCCACUGUGGUAAACUGUACUUUCAUUUGUAUGUUUGGCUUGUCUAAAAAAAAUUGUAUGUUUUCCAAGACCUAGCGUCCAUCUAUUCCGCGCCGCCGUCGCUGCCCUGUCGGUUGCCUUGUGAGUUGCCGGAUGCCACCUACACACCGCCGUCAUGGUUCGUCCAUCCUACACUGGCAGCAGUGCGGUGCGAGUAUUCAGUCCGCAGAUCACUGUAUUGUAUUGGCGUAUCCGUUUCUUGAGCAGUUAGAUCUAUAGGUAUGUAUUAAGUACUAGUUUUUAUUAUGUUGGUGGAUUUCAAUCCAGUAUUCUAGUGAUCUCGUUUACUUGCAUAUAAGACAACAGGUUAAUUCACAAAUUAGGUGUGUCGCUUUUCCAUAGUAGAUGACUUUGAUUAAUUUGGCAAAUCACAUGAUCACUUAACCCAAAUGAAAUUGCUGCAAUAGACCCCAUGGUCUAAAGUCAAUCUAAUAAUAAAGAUUCACAAGGAUCAUUUUCCGUGAAGUUUUAUCUAUUGCGUGGUCAUUCUCUUCCCUCAACCCCUUCAUGUUUAAAUCCUGGCUCCACUUCUGCGCUUGAGAGCAAAGUGUUGAAGAAGAUUAAUUACAAGGAUAUCAUUGAACAUUUCAUUUCAAAGAAUACUAAAAGAAUGACUUGUUCAAAUAAAUAUCAGGCAACCGGGAGUUGAAUAGGUAUGCUUUUUUACACAUCCAAUUGCUAUGUAAGACAUUAUAUCAUAUACGUUAUAUUGCUCAUUAGUUUAUUUUAGUGAGAUGGGGCCCCAUUUUUUAGUUUCGCACAGGGCUCUGGAUUUUGCCGACCCAGCCUUGAUAGACAUGUUCUAAUGUGUUUGUUCAGUCAUUUUAGUCUGUACAUAGUAAUAUUAAAAUAUCCAGAACAUCUCUUAUAUUUAUGAAGCGAGUGAGUACUAGUUAUGUAAUGUGUCUAUUACCGGUGCUCGAGUGUCUGAGUGUUAACUUGGAACCCACUAAGAUGAAUUUCUAGACCCGUCGCUUAUUGCAACGUUAGAUUGAAUCAAUAGAUAAUGAUAUUCUUCUCGCCUAGCUCAUCACCGAGACAUUCGAUUUAAAUAAUCUUGUAUCCUUAUUAUUGGCACAAACGCAAUCAGAAGUUUCUUUCUCUUUGGGUCGCGCUAACUGCCACACGUGUGGCAGGAAGGAAGACGCACCACACGUCUCUAAUGUAAACAGAUUGCCACGUCAUCGCAUGCAUGCAUGCAGGAAUUUUUUUGGAUUUUCAGUUUUUAAAAUGUUUUAUCUCUUAAACGAAAAAUCCGAUUGAAAAUCCGUUUUCACCAUUAAAUCCCUCGCGAUGAGAUCUUCGAAACUAGAUCCAAUGUUGAUAUGUUUUAAUGAAUUUUUUUUUGGAUUAAAAGUUGCCAUGUCUAUUGCAUAUGAAUUGUCAUGAUGUUUACACUGAAGUUGCCAUGAUAUGUUUCAGCUCUUUUCUUCUACAUUUAAAAGUAAAUUUUGACAUUUAUAAAACGGGGAAUUAAGAAACUAGACUUGCCAUGAACCAUAAACUAAAAUUGCCAUGAUACAUGCACGUAAAAUUGCCAUGGUUCAUACAAAAAAUAAUUUUCAUGGUCAAAGUACUAGAGUUGCCAUCAUCAAAAUACUAAAAUUGCCAUGAUCUACAAACUAAAAUUGCCACAUGGCAACUUUAGUUUAAGCCCUAUGGCAACUGCAGUGUAAACAUCGUGGCAACUUCUGACAAAAAAAAAAUCAUCGAAACAUAUCAACAUGGGGUCUAGUUUUGAAGAUCUCGUCGAGACGGAUUUAAUGGUGAAAACGGAUUUUUAGUUCGCUUUUUUAUUUAGAAGAUACAACAUUUUUAAGCCGAAAACCAAAAAAAAUUCUGCUGAUGUCAUCUAUUCAUACGUGGCAAAAUGAGUGGUGAUGGAGGCGUGUGGGCGAUGUGCAAACGCCCACACGUGUGGGCGUUAACAUUUUCGUUUUCUUUCUGUCACCAAAAUACUUCACUUACUGAGGGUUUUCUAUCCUGCUCCCUCUUAUUUUCCAUUUUCACAUGAAAGAUACGAGUAUAAAAUAGAUCUAAGCCGUUGAUUGUACUAAAUAGUGGGUUUGAUUAACUCUUAACUUCUUACCUUCCGUGUGAAAAGAGAGGUUUUUUAACAUGCUCCUCUUACUCUCUGUCUCCGUGCAUGUUAAAAUUGCUCUUAUAAAGAUUUACAAGACGACGUGCGAGUCGAGUCGAGCACCUCACCUGGAAGUCAAAACCAUCGGCCAUCGCGUGGGAGUCCCGGGUAGGGCUCGUCACCAUGCAAGGGCGGAAGGAUCGACGUCGCCGGCCGCCAACUCCGGCCACCGGCGAGGCUGAGAACAGCGGUGGCUCGACGGAGGAGAAGACGUGCGCCGCCAUCAGUCAGUUGCGACUAUCACCUCUGUAACCACACAACUGUUGGCUAAGGAGCAAGUGAGCAACUACCGUACUUGUCAAGCCGCCACGAACAAAUACAUAUAGGCAGCGACGAACAUUUAUAUUACUGCGCCGACGUACACACACGCAGGAUGUCUGGCCAGAAAAGGAGGUAGGAUUUUUUUUGCCGACCUUGCGCUGAAACUUCUCCACGUCCCUGGAUCUAAAUGACUAGGGUGAUUCGUAGCCUCCUUUCCCAUACAAAUGUUGUGGCGCCUACGGGGUAAAGCAGCAGCCAUAUAUAUCUGUGCUAGGUUGGAAGAGUGCUCACUAGAAGAGAGCUACGUCGUUGUUGCUACUAUAGAUUGCGCCCGCCCUGAAAUCUCAAUGACCGGGAUGGGUUUCAUACGGAAUCUGGGACGAAAUCUGCAAGUGGAGAGGAAGAGAUUUCGACAACAUAAUUUUUUCCAACUUCACAGAAAUGUACGUGCAUUUUUUAGGAAUGUUAGUUCAAACAUUUUAACAAAAAUGUGUGUACGACUAAAAAAGGUGUUCACGUGUAUGUAAAAAAAUGCCAUGUAGAAUAAAAAUGUUCAGUAUUUUUAUUAAAUGUUCAUGUAAUUAAGAUGUGUUCAUCUAUUCUGAAUAAAAUACAUGUACUUUUAAAGAAAUGUUCACAUAUUUUAAAAAGUGUUCAUAUACUUUCAAAACAUGUUCAUGCAUUUCCUGUGAAAGCGAUCAUGUUAUUAAUGAAAGCAUUCGUCCAUUUGAGAAAUUAUUCAUGUAAUUAAACAAGUUUUCCACCCAUUUGAAAAGUCUUCAUGUAAUUUUAAAAUAGUGUAAUAUUCAUGUAUUUUUUUAAACCCAUAUUUUUUUAAUAUCUUAGUAUAUUUUUAAAACAAAACAUGAAACUUAAAAUAGAAGAGAAAAAGGACAAACAAACAAGAAAAUAAAAAGGAAUAAAACACAAAACAAAAAAGAAACAUGAAAAAAGGAAAAACCCAACACAAACCAGCACAAAAAAACCCGACAAAAGAAAAUAGGAAAAAACAACUGAAACCAGUCCGGUCCACACCCCCACAGCUGGGUCUGGUCCCUACCUUCGCCCAAAUUUUUAUGGCCAGCGAUUUUGCUCGGCAGGUUCAUUAAUGAAAUGAAGUGUUUCGAGCUAAAAAAAACGGUGAUCCAUAAUUUUUUCUUCCACGUUCGUCCGUGGACAGGGGGACCAGUCCGCGUACACGAAUGCGAGAGGCCGUCAUUCAACGCUAUCCUAUAUAUGUCCGCCAGUAAAAGGUAAUUUGAAAUUCAAAUUUAGUUUGAUCCACACAGUGUGUCACAUCACACCAGCGCCAGAUCGCAUGCUCUAUCACAGCCAAAAAGAGACAAGUAUGCUUAGUUUUUACAUGCCGAAUCCAAAAAAAUAUCAGUCUGACAAUCAGUGCAAUUUUUCAUAAAAUGGUGUGUGUGUGGCGCUAUCGGCAAGGCACGUUUCCUCCGUUCGGGCACCACAUGCGUUCUAAAAUAUAACAUCUAACUAAUGUAAUGAGGAACAAGCUACAUUAAUAAUAAAUGCACACAUUUCGGAACAUGACAUACUCCCUCCGUCUCAGUUUACAAGUCCUACGCGUAUACCUAGGUUACCAUUUUUAUCACCCUAAUAUAAACUAUAUAACACAAAAAUUAUACGGUUUGAAAAUAGAACAUCUGAAUUUUAUAUUAAUAUAUUUUUUAUAAUAUAUGAUUUAUAUUAGGUUGGUCAAAUUGACGACCUAGGGGUACGCGCACGCCCUUUAAACUGAGAGAGAGGGAGUACUAUCAUGGAUAAAUAAUGAAAUAAAUGAAUGACAUAAAUGUCAUCCAAUCGCCAAUGUAAAGAAUAUGCUCUCAUGGAGCUUACAACCAAAUCGAGUUUACUCGAAUUUAUUGUAUGAAAUCAUGGAAUCAUGAUAACUAACGAGGUAAGCUAUAUAAACGAGUAUUUAUAUAGGGGCAGGGGUCAAGAGAUAAAUACUCAUUUAACGUAAAGUGUGGAACCAGAAGGGGCUAAGCCGUGCGCAUCGCACGUGUCCGCCGCCACCCUCGUGGUGGACCCGGUUUCCCAACAAGUGUGUGUGCGCGCGUAGUGGCGCCGAGCAUUGUGGCUGGCUUUUGUGAGUGUGUGCAUUGGAGCUAGCUUGGGUUAAAAAAGCCCCCGUGUACUCGUUGUAAGUGCGUCGGUAUGAGCCAUGCCACGGUGCGUUGCCGAGCCCGGGUAUGUGCCCAGUAAAUUGACGCCGUUCGUGUGAUGUGGCGUUUGUGCGCCGGAAAUAUUUGUGUCCCUCUUCUUUUCCACCUAUGUCCGAGCGAGUGUGAGAGCGAGGUAGUCCGGUUUGUCCCAACACAGCCAGCAAGACGGCCACUAGCUGCUAGCGGCUUAGAUGUACUAAAAUGACAUUGUCGCCUCUUCAUGGUGAAAUCAUUAAUUUCCUUGUAAACACUAACAAUUGGCAUCACCUUUGUGUUAUUUGUAUUAGUUGGCGUGCAUCAACACAAUCGUGGGCCUAAGCCCAGGCCCAUGACUCCCUACCUGGCAGUCUAUAUAAUGCAAGAGUUGGCCAGUGUAGUUGAUAGACACACUCUCUCCUCGCGUAACCCUAUCCGUCAUCUAAAUGUACCUUUCAGUGUGCUGCUUCUGGCGAUCCCAUCCCGACAACCGCAUGCACAGUUGGCCAAGAGAUCCCAUCCUGACAACCGCAUGCACAGUUGGCCAAGAGAGCGGGUGCCCUCGAAACCACGUCCUUCGAGAUCCUACCCGGGAGAAGGGCCAUAAGGUUUUUGGGGAGCGUCUCUGUCCUCCUCUACUUCAACUACUUUCCCUGCAUGAUCCCAUGGCGAACGAUGACAAAGCCGCCAAGAAGAAAGCCACGGACGACGUCAAGGUUGUUGCUGUCGCUGCCUGGCCAACCAAAGAGUAUGACUUGUUCAUCCCCUACUAACUCGUUCAUCUGCUAGCCAUAUAUGUCCUGUACAUAGAUGUUUUGUUCUUUGUGUUAUACAUGCUCACAUGUUUAGCUAUCACCUAUCGGUAUGAGUUGCAUACUGUGAAUCAUAUGCUUACUGUUAACUCGUGAACUAGAUUAAUCGAAAAGGUGGUGCUAAUAUUUCCAACAUAUUUGAUUUGAUUUCCUAGCAUGCAUCCAGUAUUGCAGAUGCGAACGCGUACUGCAAAUCUGAGAAAGUCUACGCAACUCUAUUUCAUUAUAUGCAAGUCACGCGUGCAUACGGAACCUGAAAAGGGCAGUGAAGCUUUGUUGGUGGCCAGAGGUGAUAAAAUGCAUCUGUCCCUCAAGCAGGCUCAGAAAAAAUCAGCUCUACUAAAUGAUACAGAUUUUCUUACUGGCAUGCAAUGCCAAACUCGAGAAGCAGCUAAAUAAAUGUAGCAGCAACAGAACGUGCUAAUGCGAGGCGGGCGAAGGUUCUAUCUUCCCGGUACAGCCUAAGAUUAUUUCACUUCACCUUUGAACCACUUUCCAAUACAGACGAAGUCACCACCAACGAAUUUCGACAGAACUAAGUUGGAACCGAUUUCACCGAGCAUCUUAACCACCAUCUUCUGCUACCGCCUAGCUAAACUGGUGGUCCACUGGCAUCCCAGCGUUUUUACCCCUGGCAUGGGGUGGGUUUAUAUACACAAUCUGGGCUGUGAAACAACAGGAACCAGGAUUCAUCGUUUUACAAGGUGGACGUGAGCUUGCAACUGUGCGAGGAAAUUCAGCCAUGCCUGAUGGACCAACCCAGCAUUUCCCCUGCCAUCGUCGUAAGUGCGAGAAGAGCUAGUUGGAUGGAGGUCCAGAUCCACCCAUGCGCCUCCUGAGCCGGCCCCGAGUCAACCGAAUAGCCUCCUGGAUGAGCGUCUCCUCGUCUUCAGGCAUUGUUGGGCGGGGUGGCACGUUGCUUGUCGAAGGCCCAGAUUGAUCAACCAGCAUGUCUUCACUCUUUGGGGGGCUGUUGCCGGCGACAGGGCCAGGACAGGAAGGUGUUUGUUGCUGCACAGGAGGCACUGCGCCAGGAGGGGCAACUGGAACUGGGCCUUUAUCUUGCACCUGCAUCCUUGGUGGAGUAGGAGGAACUUGGGCGGCCUGUGGCGGCAUCGGUGGUGCCGUUGGUGCGGGAACAGGUGGUGGUGCAGGAUUCGCCAUCCGAGUCCGUGGAGGUGGUGGACGCUGCUGCUGUUGCUGUGCCUGUAUAGAGAGACAGUAAAGUAAGUACAUGAGACAUAUACAGCUGACACUGACACACACACGCACAAGCACACAAUACUAGGUAAGUUAAUGAGUUCUAAAAAACCAUCUGACUCUGAAUCCUGCAACUGGUAAACAGAAAGCCCAUGCUGCACUCUCGACAAAUGCACACAGAACUUCUGUACAUGAAUAAUCCUAACCCUUCCUAACAAAUGGUAUGACGAAAUGGUGCAGCAGUUAUCACAUUCCAAUAUGGAAAUUAUAUAUUAUACGUGCUUCUCAGGUUACUAACUCUAACAAAGGAUGUAACAAGAAUGGAAGUGCUAUUCAUGCAAGGUGAUACAAACUAUGUGGAACUAUAGAUCAAACUUUGCUAGAAGUACCAGAGGUAUGGAGCAAAACUAAAUUGCAGGUCGUCAACUUGAUCACUGUCAGUACACGAUCAAAUAUCUAUGUUGUCUUUAACAAGAUAUGUAAAGCAUCAAGCAUGACAAGGUAAUUCUAGACAAGUUUGCUUUUGUAUGUGUGCCCAAACAAAUAAGAGCUAAGCAACCUAGAGGUCGAGGACACCAUGAAUAAUCCUAUUGUGAUAAUUCUUGCAAGAAAAUUGGUACAGGAGUAUGGUAGAUGAAUGGCAUGAUACUACAAAAUCAUUGCUAGCUAAUUUUGUCCACGCAAAUGCCACAAUUAACCACAACUCAGGCUCCUAAGCUGUAAAAUAAACCAGAGAAACAAAUGCCAUUUCCUACCAAAUACCAACAGAGAUUACUGAAUAGUGAUAAAUCCAGGUACAAUCGUAAGCCAGUUUGAUUUGGCAGAACAAUUGGGUUUGACUAAACUGCGCCCUAACUGAUGAAAAGAAAAAGGGAUAAUGUUAUAAUGCAACUACAUGGUGAUGAGUUGAUGACAUAGCAGAACUUGUGCGGCACACAAAUUCUUCCAAAGGGUGCGACCAGGACAUACACACAAAUUCUUAGAGUGCACGCAAGGUAGAAUAUUCAACUGAACACUAGGGGGAAAUAUUUCUAGAAUUUCACAAUAUGGUGUGAAAACACUCCAGUAGUAGCGCUCUUAGAAGACCAGAGCAAAUUUCCCAACCUAUCGAUAAUUCACAGAAAUUCUCAGAACUAGGAAAAAUUAGAUGCAUAUUCUCUCUAUUAUAAAUGGAAGGUAAAUGCAUAUGCCAAAAUUUUGGAGCAAUAUAUGAUCUCUGAGCGUCAUACUAUAUUUCUUUUACCCAAACAUAGGAGUAUUAUUUAACUCCAAUUGUAACUACAAAAAAAAAUCAGUAAACACCACUCGUAGACGAGAGGCUGAAUGUAAAAAGAAGUGUUGCAUAAAGGAACAUAGAAAUGGGUAUUAUUCAUGUUUUUCUAACUUCCACUAGAAAUCAGGGAAUCAAUGUGAAUUUAAGAUCAUUUUAACAUUUAAAAAAAACAUGUGGUGGUAGGAUGCAAUACAUACAUCGUUAUCAAUACAACAUGUGAAUAAAUUCAUGGCCUAGCAUUUAAAAUUCUACUCCAGCCUACAACAUUGGGCUCAAAUAGAAGAAAACCUAAAUAGCACUACCAUUAUGGAACAAGCCACCAGAUUAUAUCAUAUACUCCCUCCGUCCCAUAAUUCUUGUCUUAGAUUUGUCUAAAUACGGAUGUAUCAAGUCACGUUUUAGUAUUAGAUACAUCCGUAUCUAGACAAAUCUAAGACAAGAAUUUUGGGACGGAGGGAGUACAAACUAUAGAAGUUCAGUCAUCAUAUAGUGGGUAGUGUUACACUUCUCGCUAAAAUAGACAUCAUAGCAGUACAAAAUGACUGUCACACAAGCUUUAAAGUUUUGAAAGUACCUGAGAACGAGAUCCUUGUGAUUGAGAAGCAAUAUAUUGCAAGAUUUCAUGGAACCUUGACUGGCUGUAGUCUGCAACCUUGUGGAAGUAAGUAACAGCAAUAUCACUAGCCCUUGUCCUCAACUCAAGAAGAUUGCGAUCAAUCUCAGAUUCGUGUUUUGCGAUAUAAGGCUUGAAGAACGACUCAUAGACAUAUGAAGUCCCCUGGAAUAACCCUUUGUUAGAGACAAGCCAUAAGACAUAACAUGUUAUGGCAACACAAAAAGCAGGAAACAAAACCUGUGUCUUAGGAUACCACAAAUACACAAUAAAAGCCAGCUUUGCUUCACUAUACAUUGGCAACCUGUAUGAAAAUGGAACUAUCAACCAUCAAGCAGAUGAAGUCCCCCAACUGUAAUCACCCAAAAUCCGAAUUCAAAUGAGUCACAUUACCAUGAUAUGAAAUUAUCCCCAACUCUCUCGAAAACAGUAAGCAUUGCAAGUAAAAUCCUGCAAAACCAUGGUCAUGCAUGUGAGACCAAGCAAAAACAAAGAAUGAUAGCCCAAAAUAAAAUGGAAGGACGUCAAAGACAUACCAGUACUGACACCAGAACCGCAACUGCUCAAUCUCAGGCCUAUUCAGCUCCACUGUCUUGUAACAAUCAUAAGCUGGAUAUGCAUAUCCAAGAACAAGUCUGCAAAACGGAUAAAUAGCAGAAACAUUGUGGGUGUAAACAAGAAUCACACCAUUGCUGUGAUUAAAUAAGAACUGAAUUGCUGCUUACAUUAAAGCUCUGGUGAUGAAUGAUCCGACAACCAUCUUGACCCCUACACCACAGAAACAUCAAUUACAUAUGUUGUCAAUUGCCAAAAGCAAGAUAGAUAAAUGUCCUAUGAGGGUCAAAUAUAUAACAGGCUAGCAGUCAUUAUGCUAUAUACUUCCGCAAGCUCCUUCACAUCAGCAAAACAGAACACAAAAAGAUGGAAAUAGGCACCGCAUGCUAGAUUAAGCCUUUAUCUUGCUGAUUACUUCAGCCAUCACACAUCUAGAAAGCCUUAUCCAAUCAUACUAGCACCAUAAAGUCAUACUCCCUCCGUUUUGAAAUAAUUGUCUUUCUAGAGAUUUCAACAAGUGACUACAUACGAAGCAAAAUGAGUGAAUCUACACUCUAAAACAUGUCUACAUACAUCCGUAUGUUGUAGUCUAUUUGAGAUGGCUAGAAAGACAAUUAUUUCGGAACGGAGGGAGUAGGUGAUACCAAACCAUUUGGCUAGAGUUCGAUUUUGUUAUAACAAACAGGGGCUACGCAGAGUAGGGGAAACCUAACGACUGCCUGUCCUGGCAAGAACAAACAAAACUUCUGUUAAAGUUGGGUCUAGAUAAGAACAGGGGGUGCAUCAAGCAUCAUAAGUUCAUAUCAGUCCAUUUUGCUAGAUUUCGAUUUUGUUACAGCAAGCACUGCACGGAAUAGGAGGAAAUCCAAACAAUUACAUAUUCCCAGUCAGACCAAACAAUUUACUGUUACAUUUUGGCUUUAGUAUAUGAUAGCAGAAGGUACACCUCCUCUGCCCUAAGAAAAUGACCAAGCAAAUCAAUCCGAACAUGAACUGGGAGGCAAAUUGAAUGGAGGGACCCGAUACAGAUCGAUUCAAAGGAGCAGCCAAAAGUACACCUAUGCUCUCAGAAGAAGACCAACCAAAUUAAUCUAAACAUGAACUGGGAAGCAAAACAUAAAAAGAUGAAAAUAGGUACUGCAUGCUAGAUUAAGCCUUUAUCUUGCUGAUUACUUCAGCUAUCGAACAUCCAGAAAGCGGCAUCCAAACAUGCUAGCACCAUAAGUUCAUAGGUGACACCAAACCAUUUUGCUAUAGUUCGAUUUUGUUAUAACAGAGGCUACACAGAGUAGGGGAAACCUAACGACCACCUGUUCUGGCCAGACCAAACAAAAUUUCUGUUGAAGUUGGGAAAUUUCCAACAACAAAAUUGAUAAAUGUCCUAUGAGGUCAAAUCUAUAACAGGUUAGCAGCCAUUAUUAUGCCACAGCCUUCCACAAGCUCCUUCACAUCAGCAAAACAGAACACAAAAGGAUGGAAAUAGGCACUGCAUGCCAGAUCAAGCCUUUAUCAUGCUAAUUAAUUCAGCCACCACACGCCUAGAAAGCAUUAUCCAAUCAUGUAUUCAUGUUAACAGCAUAAGUUCAUAGGUGAUACCAAACCAUUUUGCGGAGUUCAAUUUUGUUAUAACAGAGGCUACACUGAAAAGGGGAAACCUAACAACUACCUGUUCUGGCCAGACCAAACAAAAUUUCUGUUAAAGUUGGGUCUAGAUAUAUAGAAUAGGGGGUGCAUCAAGCAUCAUAAGUUCAUAUGAGCCCGUUCUGCUAGAGUUUGAUUCUGUCACAACAAAUACUACAGAGAAUAUGGCGAAAUCCAGACAAUUACUUGUUCCCAGUCAGACCAAACAAUUUACUGUUACAUUUCUGCUUUAGUAUAUGACAGCAGAAGGUAAACCUCCUCUGCUCUAAGAAAUGACCAAGCAAAUCAAUCUGAACAUGAACUGGGAGGCAAAUUGAAUGGAGGCACCCGAUACAAAUCAAUUCAAACGAGCAGCCAAAAGUACACCUACGCUCUCAGAAGAAGACCAACCAAAUUAAUCUAAACAUGAACUGGGAAGCAAAAAAUAAAUAAACGGAGGCACCAGGUACAAUAUCAAUUCAAACGAGCAGCCGAAAGCACCUCGCGCAAACCCAACCAGAUCAGCCUCGGCCUAGCGCGAAACCAGAAUCAACACGCCGCAGAGGAACCGCUACAUCAAGCUCGCAAAUCCCUCCAAAUGCGAGCGGCUCGCAAAUCCCUCCAAAUGCGAGCGGCUCGCAACCCCUGGGCGCCACGCCCCGCGCGGUUGCGGCCCCCGAACGGCACCGGAGGAGCAGCGCACCGCAGCGCGGAGAAUCGAACGGGGCACGGGACGCGACAACCGCAGCCUAAUCCAUACCCGAAACAACCAAACAGCGUAUCCGUGGCGUGUGCGGGGAGAAGUUAACCCCCGGCGGAGACGGAACGGGGAGGGGGCGGCGCCGCUGCUGCCGCCCCUACAGAAGGACCAAAUCGAAGCAAAGUGGGGCGGGGAACGAAUACCUUUCCUCCCGCUGCAAGCAACGGGCCGGCAGCGCGAGGUGCUGGCCCUCGGCGGCGGCGACGACGCGGGCUGUUGCCGGAGCAGGGGAGGGAGCCGCGGAAGCUUCCAGGAGGUUCCGGGAGGGAGGGGGCCUCCGUCCCGGGCCGGGUCGGCGGCGAGGCGGCCGAGGGGAGAGGGGGAGGGAAUUCAAAAGAGGGGUUUGCCUUUGGGUUUGGGGAUGGAAAAGGGGCGAGGAAAUCACCGUCAGAAACCGCUACAUAGCGUCCCACGCUCACGGUGGGGCCUACCCGUGUGCUACGCUGAUAGAUGGGCCCAGACGUGGUAUGGUCCCACCUGUCUGCCGGGCUUAGCUUGCUGCUGUCGGCUCGGGUGGGUGGAAGGGGUCGGAGGUGUGCGGCGCCGUUCUGGUCUGCGGGGGUCGGAGGGGUGCCGCGCACGCGUCGGCUCUUGUACCCGUGCGAAGUCGGGUGCGGUGGGCCGCAGUGUCAGUGGGUGGCCUCGGGUGGAUAAGAGCGCGCCGAGGUUAAGUAAAGAAUUGUGCUGUGUUUGGGUGCGAGGGGCAAGGAAUAUGUGCACGCCGGGAGGAGGGGAUGGGAUCCCAGCCCAUCUGACAACCCCCUCUCUCUCUCUCUCUUCGACACGCUUGUCAAGUGUUGCGGCAUCGUUUUGAUUUAACGAUGUGGUAUAUCGUAAAGUUUGAUAAAAAAAAUAUACUCCCCAUCCAUAAUAAGUGUCGCGAUUUUGAACUCAGAUUAGUAGGUGCAUAUACCGUGAUCGCUCCAGCUGCAAAGAGGGAAUAGAUUGUGUGUGGUAUCUCGCAAAAGAAAAUAUACACUACUUAGGGCAUCUCUAACAGAACCACCAUCACACAACUUUUUAAAUGCUCUCUCAAAUUUUAACUCCCCAAAACUGAGAAGUUAAGAUAACGGACAGACUUAACCGAACUUCUAUAUUUAGAGCAUCUCCAAUAGAUGGUCCAAAAUUUGACGGUCCAAAAUUGAAGAUGUAAAAUUUACACCGCCAAAAAGUGCGCUUUGGGGUUCUCAUUGCCUCAAGAUGUUUUUGUUACACUUAGGGCCUGUUCUGAACUUCUCUUGCUUCUCAAAACUUCACAUAUCCAGCUUCUUCUCCUCGCUUCUAACUCCACCUAGCGAUCGCAGGAGCGUUCGGGAGCAUCGACAGCUUCUCCCAGCGCUGCAGCCCAGCUGGGAGGGCUGUGGCCUGUUGGGCCGGCUGGAGGCAGCCAAAUUCGGUCCAACAUGUCAGGUGAGGCGGACUCCGGCGACUCGACGAGGUGAGGAAGAGAGCGCGAAGGGGAGGAGCAGGAAGGGGAAGGGGCGGUGUGGUGCGGGGAGGUGAGCGGCACCGCAGCCGUGGUCAGGCGCCGGAUCCCGCUGUGGUGCCUACGCCCGUGGGCCCGUUUUCGAUGCCUUCCCCGGGCUGCGUCGACGGGAACCGGCGGGGAUUGCCCUGGAACGGCUCGAUCUGUUGCCGGGAAGGAGCGGCGGCCGGCGACGACGCGGCGGCCGGCAACGGCGUGGCGGCGGAUUGGGUCAGCGCCGCUCGAGGGGAACGAGCUGGGGAGAGCUAGCGAUAGGAUUUGGGGGAGGGGAACGAAUCGGUAAGUUUUGCGGUGGCAUACGGCUGUAAUUUGGGCAAACUCCAGUUUCUCUUUUCCGUGGAGCUGGGCCGAGGCAGCUUCGAAUUUUUACACUGCGAUUGGGCUCAGCUUCCCGAAGCGAGCUUCUCGGGGCUUUUCCGUUCGGCUCAGCUCCCGCUCCAGAAUUUUGCAAAGCGUGGAGCGGGAGGACAUCCGAACAGGCCCUUACUGAGCGGAAGGGGGCAUGUGAACCUUUUGGAGAACUUGUUGAGGCUUGGGUACUGAUUGAAGGAAUUCCUCCUAAAUGGUGCACAUGGAAAGUUUUUGCUCAGAUUGCUUCUUUGUUUGGGGUACUGACUGAUGUAGGCUGGAAUGGCAUGUUCAGGACUUUCUUUGAGAAUGUUAGAAUAAAAAUUGCUUGUAGGGACCCCACAAAGAUCCCAUUUGAGAGGCUCAUUGAGAUGAAGAAGAAGUUGUUUUUACUGGGCUUUGCUGCGGAGGGAUUUGAGCAAGUUGGUGGGAUUGACUCUGUUAUUGAUAUUGAGGAUGAUGAAGAAAUAGAAGGAGAAGGUGUCGCUGAGGGACAGGAGGAUGAGGGUGGAAAUGCUUAGAAAGAUGGACUGGAAGACUUACUUGAUAGUGAGGAGGCAAUUGAUGAGCUAGAUAAGGCUAAUAUAGCUAAUCAAAGCAAGAAUAAACAGAAAGGGCCCCAAGCUGACAUGUUCUGUUCUGACUCUGAUCAUGAAACCUUUAUCCUGGAGUGUGUUGCUGCUGAUAAAGAAGAACAUCUUGUAACUGAAAAAGGAACUGAAUCUAAGGAUUUCUGUCCUUCUACUUUGAUGGAAUCCACUCCAUCCAAGCCACUAGUAAGGAUUGCUGAGGGGAUCACCAGUUCUGGAGGGAAGCUUGAAAGCAUGGAGUAUUGUGAGAGUAUACUUAAAUCUGUUGACUUUUCUGAGUCCGAGGAAGAGGAUUCCAAGGGUGAUGAACUUGAAACUCUUCCUCCUGAAGUUGUACAAGCCAUUCAAAACAUAUCUCUGAAAAGAUCUUUGCUGGAAACCCUUGAUCAGGAUCAGGAUCCAAGGGCAAAAGCUGAGAAGACCAAGUGGAGGCCUGUGCUGGUUCAGAAACCUGCUACUAGGGGGCAUGGCAAUUUGAAUAUCAUGGAAAAAGCUGCUGCUUACAAGAGGAAGCAGAAUCUGGAAAUUCCAAAAACUUUCAAAGGUAAAUCAUUCACUAAUACUGAUCAUAACAUUCUGUUUGAAAAAAUGAGUAAAAUUGAUUUAUGCAUUGGGGGGAUGAGGGGAUGAAUAGUGUAUCCAUAGCGUGUGCGGGGAGAAGUUAACCCCCGGCGGAGACGGAACGGGGAGGGGGCGGCGCCGCUACUGCCGCCCCUACAGAAGGACCAAAUCCAAGCAAAGUGGGGCGGGGAACGAAUACCUUUCCUCCCGAUGCAAGCAACGGGUCGAAGCGCGCGAGGUGGUGGCCCUCGGCGGCGGCGGCGACGCGGGACCUCAUCGGAGCAGGGGAGGGAGCCGCGGAAGCUUCCAGAAGGUUCCGGGAGGGAGGAGGGGGCCUCCGUCCCGGGCCGGGUCGGCGACGAGGCGGCCGAGAGGAGAGGGGAAGGGAAUUCAAAAGAGGGCUUUGCCUUUGGGUUUGGGGAUAGAAAAGGGACGAGGAAAUCACCGUGAGAAACCGCUACAUAGUGUCCCAAGCUCACGGUGGGGCCUACCCGUGUGCCACGCUGAUGGAUGGGCCCGGACCUGGGAUGGUCCCACCUGUCUGCUGGGUUUAGUUUGCUGCUGUCAGCUCGGGUGGAUGGAAGGGGUCGGAGGUAUGCGGCGCUGUUCUGGUCUGCGGGGGUCGGAGGGGUGCCGCGCACGCGUCGGCUCUUGUACCCGUGCGAAGUCGGGCUAGCUCGGGUGCGGUGGGCCGCAGUGUCAGUGGGUGUCCUCGGGUGGAUAAGAGCGCGCCGAGGUUAAGUAAAGAAUUGUGCUGUGUUUGGGUGCGAGGGGCAAGGAAUAUGUGCACGCCGGGAGGAGGGGAUGGGAUCCCGGCCCGUUUGACACCCCCCCCCCUCUCUCCCUUCGACACGACUUGUCAAGUGCUGCAGCAUCGUUUUAACUUUCCGAUGUACUACUAGUACCAUCGUAAAGUUUGAUAUAAAUGAAAAAAUGUACUCCCUUCCUCAAAUUUAAUACAAAGUUGACACUUGUUUUGAAACGGAGGAAGUAUACGAAGUAUUUUUACACUUGUUUUGAAAAGGACAUAGAUUAGCACGCGAAAUUUCUGCUCCCAGGCUCAUCUGCACCUGCGCUCAUAAAAAAAUCAAAGAAAAACUAGAAAAAUCCUUUUUUGUGUGUGUGGCUCAUCUGCACCUGCGCAUGGCCCCUCCUGAUUUGUCUUUUUUGUCGAGAGCUGUUCAGAUGUCCAAAUGAGUUAAAAUUUGGAGCUGACAUCACGCAUCAAAUUAUCUACCAGACAAAAAAUGUAUAUUUUUUUGAAUUUUUUUAGUAUUUGUUUUGAUUUUUUCUGAGCGGGAGCAUAUGAGCCUGGGCACCGAGUUGGAUUUUCACAUAGAUUAUGUACAUUGUGCAAUAGUACCUCGCAAAAGAAAAUAUAAAUUUCCUAGGGCAUUUCUAACUGAAACACCACUAUAUGACUUUUCAAAUGCUCCCUCAAAUCUUAACUCCUCAAACGGCAAGCUGGAGGACACGGGUUUUUCGGGCAAUACUUCCUCAACUUGGACUGCAAUCAGUCACGGCCUAGAUUUGCUCAAGAAAGGUUUAAUAUGGAUAGUUGGGAACGGAAGGAGUAUUCGUAUAUGGAGGGACGCUUGGAUCCCUAGGCCCUUUUCAUAUAGGCCAAUCUCAGUUCAGGGUACAUGCAGGUACCGUUUUGUGUCACAGCUUCUACGCGACAAUGGAUCAUGGAAUUACAAUCUGCUCCAGGAAGCCUUCCUACCAUGUGAUGUGCAGGAGAUUCUGAAAAUAAGAGCAUCGCCGCGGCUAGGCGAGGACGUGCUUGCAUGGGGGCCGGCUGGAAAUGGUGUUUUUUCAGUCGAAUCAGCAUAUACCUUAGCCUUUGAAGAGACAUACAUAUCUACUGCGGAAUCUUCAAGCUCAGCCCCGAAUGGACAUCAGACCUGUUGGAAAGUUAUUUGGAAAAGUUUUGUACCUCUAGCAGUACAGCAGUGAACUCUCUCCCAACUUGGCAAAACAAGAAUAAACGUAACUUAGAAACUUCGGGAAUCUGCCCAAUCUGCGAGCGGGAAGAGGAAGAUACUUUUCAUGCAUUAUGUAAAUGCCCUUUUGUGGUGCAAUGUGGGAAUGCAUGUCAACUGUUUGGCGUUUGCCACAGCUGGAGGAAAUGAAAAAUACGGGUACUGAAUGGUAUUGGAGGCGCUCCAUCCACUCCCUGAGAUUGAUAGUGGUAUGCUAAUGAUGACACUGUGGCGGGUAUGGCAUAACCAUAAUGAAGUGACUCAUAAAAAAGGAUCCAUUGUUGAUGGAAGUGUCCAAGCGUUUCCUGAUGAGCUACAUGGACUCGCUCUUAUCACUGAAAUACUCUGAUUAGGAUAUGUUUAAGGGACAGCAAGUGGUCUCUUAUGAUCAUCUAUAUAAACCACUUGUGAUAUUAUCUACACCUCGGCACAUUCCAUGGGUGUUGCCAAUGGAGGGCUGGACCAAACUCAACACAGAUGGUUCUUGGUCAGUUGAUGGAAGUGCGGGAGCUGGUAUGGUACUCCGGAAUAAUAUGGGUUAGACCAUUUACACAUCAUGCAUAGAGCAUUUCUCGUGCAGACACGCUUUGGAAGCGGAGCUUAGUGCAUGUACGGAGGGGCUUUUACUUGCCAUUCAGAGAACGGAGUUUCCUAUCCAUGUGGAGAUGGAUUCCCGACAAGCUGUGAGCAUGAUCGUUGAUGAGUUAACUGAUAGAUCGAUCUUCUCUUCACUGGUGAAGGAAAUCAAGCAUCUGAGGAACCUCCGUAGAACUACAUUUAGUCUUGUUCAUUGUAUUCAGAAUAGUGUUAGCAAUUUUUUGGCUAAGUUUGCUAGAACUCAGAGUAGAACUGUUGUUUGGCUUAACUCUGUCUUGUCAGAAGUUAUUGAGCUUUGUAAUGCAGAUCAUGGCAUUUAUCCCACUUGAGUAAUACAAAGUUCACCCGCAAAAAAAUCUUAACUCCUAAAAAAUGAGGAGUUAAGAUAGCGGUGGGACUUAACCGAACUCCUAUAUAUAACUCCUUAUAAAAAAGAUAUUUGCUAUUUAGCUAUCUUAAUGCCACAUGUUCUAGAUCCAAACGGCUGUGAUUAUUCUACUGUAUGCCCGUCGUUGAUGGAGAGAGUGUGGGGAUGAGCAGAGGUCGGAUCCCGUCGUGGCUCAGUGGAUGUAGGAUGAGGCAGUGGUGGCUUGCACCAUCAGCCAUGGACCUGGGCAUGCUGCCGCCGAGGCAUUCCAACUGUCUAUGGGAAGGGGGGAGGUCGUGGUGCUCCACGGGUGGAUGGCCAAACGCAGUGGGGUGAGUCCCACCUGGAUUGGCCAGAGUCGGAGGGACGCUCAGCGCCUUGACGUUGCCCGAACCGGAGUCGCCACCACCUCGCGUGGGUGCGAAAGGGGCGAUGCGCAGGUCGUCUAGCCACGAAUCCAUGCUUGAGUUUUUUUGUUAGAAAUCUCAUUGACUUACCUAAUAAAAUCGUGUUGCAUUGGUGAGCCAAUAAGUACUGAUCCAUUUAACAGUAAUAUCUGUUUAUAGUUAACAAUAAAAUUGUAGGUAAAUCAUGGUCAUUGCAUACAUUUAUGUGUGCCUUCGUUACAAUUCACAUGCAAUUAUCUAAUGGACUGAAAUUAAGGUCUAUGGCUUUUAAAAUAAUUUUUUAUUUCUUGUUGGGUUGAGAGUCAACAACCGGAAUCCAACACUUAAUUAUUUGUUGAUGCAAGUUUUAAUUUUGUGUUGCACCUGUUCGUGAGAAUGAGUCUUAGUACUGGAUGAUAACAUCACGUGGCCCUUGCUCUGUUUUCUUUGAACCAAUCUAGACAUGGAAGCCAUUUGUCAACCAAUGAUUUUUCUUUUUCCUAUUCAUAUGUGAAAUUUGUGUGCUAUUUUCUUGUUCUUAUGUCUAGCUAAAUCUAUACCUAAUAAUAAAGGGGCUAUUGCUGCGGCACGUCAUCGAAAUUGCCCCCAAAGUUGCAAAAUAUUACGCACUGAUGCCAUCUAUAUAAGGGAUAAAAAUGUUUCACACAAGGGAAUCCCCGCCUGGGCCGGCCCAUGCGGUAGGAACCUACUAUACUGCACUCUGUUUGUGCCGGCCCAAGUCGGGGCGGCAUAUUUUUUUAAAUUUUGUUUUCUAUUUUUUGUUUUUGUUUGCCAUCUUCAUUUUUCUACUUUAAAUAAUUUUGGAUUUUAAAAAAUUACAAAAUUAAAAAAAUGAGAAUUUUGAAAUAAAAUGUUUGAUAAUUCAUAAAUGUUUGUGCAAUUAUAAAAUGUUCCCGAUUUAAAAAAAUAUGUUUGCAUAUUCAAAAAGUGUUCGUAAAAAACAAAAUAAAUGUUUGGGGAAUAAAAAAUGUUCAUGAUUUUUUUUGAAAGUUUGUGUAUUAAAAAGCAUUGAUGAAAUUGAACAAAAUUUUGCCAAUUCAAAAAAUGUUCAUGAAUUGAAAAAUAUCAUAAAUUUUUGAAAACUGUUCAUGACUUACAAAAUAGUUUAUUGAUUCAUAAAAUGUUUGUGGAUAAAAAAAUGUUCAUUAAAUGAAAAAAAUUGUCCCACCAAUUCCAAAAACAUGUUCGUAGAUGCUAGAAAUAUUAUCCUAUUCAAAAAAAUGUUUUAAAAAGUAUUUUCAAAUAGUAUUAAAUGUUCAUGAAUUCAAAUUUUUACAUGAUUUUAGAAAAUGUUUAAAAAAAUGUAAAAAUCUUCCCGAUUUCAGAUAUGCUCAUGAGUUUAAAAUAUUGUUCAUGAGUUUCAAAAAUUGUUCACGCUUUCAUGAAAAUGGGAGUAUACUGUAUCUUGGUGAUGUAGCAAUAUGUGGUCAUGGCCAUUCAAGAUUAUGAUUUUUUUUCCCGUUGCAUCGCACGGCUGUUUUUGUAGUGUUUUACUUAUAUAUAGUAGAUAUACUUGUGAAAACCAUACAUAAAUAUUGCAUAUCUAUAUAAUUUAUAAUUUCAUAUAAUCCACACGGCAAUACAAAAAUCAAUUUUCAUAUAUAUCCCAAUCACAUUUAUUUCAGGGAGCAUGUCCUUGUACAUCAUCAGCUAGAUCCGUAUGUUUGUUGGAGGGGUGUACUUUGCUUAUUAGCGUAUAUGCAUAUUGUGCACUCACACCCAAAAGGAACACACUUGGCACUGGCGUUGCACGCGCAGUUUGGAGGGCAGUGAAACUUCAAGAGCUCUUGGCCCACUUGAUUCUGGCAUUCACUUAUAUCACAAUCAUGACCACCCGGCUGUGGGAUGAGUUUUCUCUUGCAAUCUUUAUACGCUGUCGCACCUACUCCCUCCGUUCCUAAAUACUUGUCUUUCUAGAGAUUUCAACAAGUGACUACAUACGGCGCAAAAUGAGUGAAUCUACACUUUAAAAUAUGUCUACACACAUCCGUAUGUUGAGUCCAUUUAAAAUGCCUAGAAAGACAAGUACUCCCUCCGUUCCUAAAUAUUUGUCUUUUUAGAGUUUUAAAUGGACUACCACAUACGGAUGUAUAUAGACACAUUUUAGAGCGUAGAUUCACUCAUUUUGCUCCGUAUGUAGUCACUUGUUGAAAUCUCUAGAAAGACAAAUAUUUAGGAACGGAGAGAGUAUUUGGGAACGGAGGGAGUACAAGAUAUCGGCAUGAAAAGAACAUGGGUCACACAUCAUGGCCAUAAUUUGAUAAAUGAGUUUGUGUGAUAUGCAUUAUAGAGAAGAAAAUGGGCACCAUAUGUUAACAGAAGGAAGGCGAGGACCAGGAGUUGAGUCACAGUACCGGUUCUCCUCAUUUUUGCCGUCUUAUGGCGUUGAUAUCUACUGUUGUUGAUGGCUACGAAACUUUAGAGCUGUUUAGGAGAACAAAUAAGAUGGCAAUCUUUUUAUAGAGGGCUUCAUAUCAAUACCAUUACCAUUAUUUGGAAAGACAUUUACUAUUGGAUAUUGUAUACCAAAAAAAUAAUUAUGGAGUAUCAAAUAAGUAAUACUAAUACCAUUAUUGGAAAGAAAUUUAUUAUUGGAUAUUGUAUACCAAAAAAAUAAUUAUGGAGUAUCAAAUAAGUAAUACUACUACCAUUAUUUGAAAACACAAUAUUAUUGGAUACCAAUACCAUUAACAUUAUUUGAAAAACACAAUAUUAUUGGAUAUCAAUACCAUUAACAUUAUUUUGAAACACAUUAUUAUUGGAUAUCAAUACCAUUACCAUUAUUUUGAAACACAUUAUUAUCGCCCAAUGCGCUUGCCAAGAAAAACUUACACCACACACCCACAACUACCGAGCCCGUUGGUGAUCGAGCCUGCCACUGUUACUCUAUGCAAGCAGCAGAACAACACGAUGCAGCGAAAGAACUCUAGCAGCGGAACAACGAUGACGGUGGUGAACUCCACUCCGCAGGGACUCUGGCUAGAACGCUUAUCCCAGCUCGCACGAACAGAAACCACGACAAGCAAGCAAUCAAAUCCGGAAUGACCUGCAAGCUGGCAUGACACGCCAGGUCAGUACAUUGAAUGUACUUGCAAGCUCACAAUAACCAGAAGCAUUCAAGACAGACAACAACAUGGCAAUUACAGGUUAAACAGGAAUUAUCAUGAUAUCAUCAAAACAAUAUAGCAUGAACAAGAUGAACAUGAUACGGCUAACAGAACAUGAACAUGGAAUGAACAUAUUAAUCCGACAAUACUAGCAUGCAACAUGAUGACACUAUCAUGCACUACUUAUUCUGCUCGGGUUACCUCGUAACCAACACAUGCAUCACUUACCAACCUCGGACAUCACACGAUCAUCUCAGGAUCAAAUCAAGCUUGGUAUAAACAAUACCGUAGUAAUCAUUAAAUGGCCACAAGGAGCUUGAUCUUUACCCACGAUUCUCGCACAACAUCACGAAUAUCCAACGACUCGGUAUCCUCAAUACCACCAUGAUCCUUACGGUGAUCACAACCACGACCAACACUUGGUCUCAAACCAUGAUCCUUACGACGAUCACAACCACGACCAACACUUGGCCCCAAACCGUGAUCCUUACGGCGAUCACAACCACGAGUUGUCAUUAAUCAAGUUAUUCUUAUUACUGUUGACUCAUGGUGUACCCUACUUUCGAACUGGGCCCUUAUCCGUGGGCGCGGCUAUCGAUAGAUUUAACAUACACUCUGCAGAGGUUAGUACACUGUACCCACACUACGGAACCCAUGGCCUCGCACUCCCAUUCGGGUGGACCAACGGCGUUCCGACAAAACCGUUCUAUUGCCAUGACACUCUCCCGGCCACUCCGACUCACUCCCCACUGGGCUAAGUCAUGGGUGGCCCCGUGUCUACCUCAAGAUACCUCAAUCCACCGCCGUGGCCCAAAACAAUAAACCGUCCCAAACGGGGACAUGUGCACAUAACAACAACAAUGGGAACACAAGUCUUAUGUCCGCCUACCUGAUCAAGGUAUCGCGCGCCCAUAACCUUCCCUCGUUAGAGGCACCGGCGAGAGGCGCGACAAUAGACCCAGUUAGGACCGUCCCAUACCGGUAAGCGUGGUUGCACUGGUCAGCAUCAUUUCAAUGGCACCAUGACUCAACCAACAGUUAUUCAAGUUCAAUUUAAUCCGGUUAACUUGAAUGCAAAUAUGCUGAGCCAUGAUAAAAUGCAUGAACAUGAUAUCAACAUAAUCAUGAGGGUAUCACAUAACUACCCACCAUAUCAACAAUAAUUCAUAUCCACUGAGCAUGGCAUACUGACUAGCAUGACCAUCACCAACAUCAACAUGUACUACUAGCAAGCAUAAACAUAUGAAAGGAAAUACUAGCAGGUAGAACAUGAUAACAUAGUACAAGACAACCUAGCACAAAAGUGAACAUGCAAAUCUAAACAUCACCGGAACAACGAUAACCAUCUUUUCAACAAGCAAAUAUUUAAUAAAGAUUCAAGUUGAAAACCGUGGCUACUGCAUGACUAUUAUGCAAGUGGGUAUUGUGGUUUCCUGGGGUGGAAGAAAUCACUGGGAGAAGCGCGAGAAAAUCGCGGAACGAAUCGCCGGAAAACAUACUCUCUUGGAGGGGGCCGAAUAAGGGCAAGGGCAUAAUGGUCAUUUUCACAGUGUCAAACCAUAGUGAAUGGAUGGCCAACAGAACGGGCUCGACGAAACAAAGAAGUAGGCUUUGGAAUCACCUCAUUUGGAGUUACGGAUAAAAAGAUACGGACAUUUAAAACUCAGGGACUAAUCUGUAAAAAUACUUCUACAAACAGGUCCCUGGCAGUUUUAAACCGAACGCGUCUUUCUGAGAAUAUGCCUUCAAAUCAGGAAAACGGCUUCGCGCCGGGGCUCCUCCACUUAUCCACGUGGCGCUGACCAGUCAAAGAGGCAGCAGCGGGGCCGGGCGCCUGGGUCGCUGCCAGGUGGGGUCACGGGGCCCGCCUGGCCAGGUCAACGCCCCACAUGGCAGGCUCCUUCUCCAGCUGGAUGCGCGCCGGGCCGAGGGGAGGCGACCGCCCCGACGGCGCUCGCAGGUGUGUCCGGCCACGGCAGGCGACGGGCGACCUACCCACGAGAUCGGGAGGAGGAGGCGCACCCCGGGGUAGUAUCCGUUGCCGGCGACGAGCACUGGAGAGGGAGCAGCAGGGGCCGCUGCGGAGAGGAGCUUCGGCCUCGGGAAAACUAGGGCUCCNNNNNNNNNNNNNNNNNNNNNNNNNNNNNNNNNNNNNNNNNNNNNNNNNNNNNNNNNNNNNNNNNNNNNNNNNNNNNNNNNNNNNNNNNNNNNNNNNNNNNNNNNNNNNNNNNNNNNNNNNNNNNNNNNNNNNNNNNNNNNNNNNNNNNNNNNNNNNNNNNNNNNNNNNNNNNNNNNNNNNNNNNNNNNNNNNNNNNNNNNNNNNNNNNNNNNNNNNNNNNNNNNNNNNNNNNNNNNNNNNNNNNNNNNNNNNNNNNNNNNNNNNNNNNNNNNNNNNNNNNNNNNNNNNNNNNNNNNNNNNNNNNNNNNNNNNNNNNNNNNNNNNNNNNNNNNNNNNNNNNNNNNNNNNNNNNNNNNNNNNNNNNNNNNNNNNNNNNNNNNNNNNNNNNNNNNNNNNNNNNNNNNNNNNNNNNNNNNNNNNNNNNNNNNNNNNNNNNNNNNNNNNNNNNNNNNNNNNNNNNNNNNNNNNNNNNNNNNNNNNNNNNNNNNNNNNNNNNNNNNNNNNNNNNNNNNNNNNNNNNNNNNNNNNNNNNNNNNNNNNNNNNNNNNNNNNNNNNNNNNNNNNNNNNNNNNNNNNNNNNNNNNNNNNNNNNNNNNNNNNNNNNNNNNNNNNNNNNNNNNNNNNNNNNNNNNNNNNNNNNNNNNNNNNNNNNNNNNNNNNNNNNNNNNNNNNNNNNNNNNNNNNNNNNNNNNNNNNNNNNNNNNNNNNNNNNNNNNNNNNNNNNGAGGAAGAAGACGAGCUCACGGGCGCGCACUGCUCGACCCUUGGCACGGCUCAUCGGAGAAGAAAAUGGAGGGGGGGGGGGGCGGGGUCCAGGCGAACGGCGACAAUGAUGCAGAGCUACUAGACAUGCGGGGACGAGCCAAAUCCAGCUGGAGCAACGAUGCCGAGGCCAACAGUGGCUAGACCACCGUUUUGGCUGGCUGCCCUCGUGGUCACCACUGGCAUGGUGCACUCUGGAGGUUUUACUGAGGCCAGAUUAUGUCUACCACGUAGUCCUUCAAAGAUAGAUUGUUACUACGGUAAAGGUUUGGGCAGAGACAAAUGGAGCUGAGUAAACCAUGCUCCACAAGUUUGCUGUUGCAAACUUGGCAACAUCCUAGAGGUAAAACCAAAGAGUUUGAAUGGUAAAUUUGAUGUCUGGGAGGCUUAGGGUAGAAAGGACUACAGUCCUGGGGGGUUUGAGGGUAAAUGGAUCAAGAUUUACUGCAGUUGCUUCACAACUGACCAAAAUGGUCCAGAAACUAGAUCAUGAUGAUGCUCUCACAUGGAGUUAUGAAAUGAGAUGCAGCUUGGCAAAUACUCAUGAUAUGGACAUAUAAAGAUUCUGUAAAAAGCUCAUGCCAAAUGGACAAGCCAAAAUGGCACUUGCUUCACAAACAUCAUUUCUGUCCAGAAACUUGGAAUAAUUAUGGUGAUCAAAUGGAUCAAUUAAAUGAUGCAAAAAUGGGUGGAGAGAUGUUUCAUGGGUAUAAGAAUGAUCUGGUAAUUUAUCAGGAUUUUUGAAGCAAUACAAAAUGCACUCGCUUCACAACCUGAAAAUAUUGCCAUAAUCAAAGAUUUGCUCCUAUGCUCACAUAGAUGAUUUUAUGGGACUGCAAAUUGGUGGAGGGGGUUAAUAUGAGCACAUUAAAGAGUGUGCAAAAUUUCAACUCAUUUGGGUACUCUUAGCUAGUACUUCCUUCACAAAGCCUUCUGUUUGACAGAAACUUUGAAAAAUCACUGAGGAAGAUUGACUAGGAAAAUAAAGUUUAACUUGUGCAUGAGGCAAUUAUUCGGACAUAUAAACAUUCCCAAAAAGGAUGGGAGCCACUAGGAAAAAUAUAAAUGACACUUCCUUCACAAAGGGCCAUUCAGGGCAGAAUAGAAAAAGGAAUAUUGGGGAAUUACUUUUGAACAUGGCAAUGAAUAGUUUUGCCAUAUUUGAUCAAGAUAUGACCCAAACAAUUUAUGAGAAUUAUUUGGGAAUUUUUGGAGUGAUGGAAAUAUAGGUUGCUUCACAACCUAGGGCAAUUUGAGUUAUUCCUUUAAUAGAAAAGGAAUAUUCCCAAUAAAAAGAAUAUUGGGAUUUGGGCUAGGAUGAAAAUGACAGGGUCUAGGAGAGGAUUUAGUAAUGACAAGCCACUCUGGAAGCAAAGAAGAGGUCAUCUUCUUCAGUUUCCAGACCACAAAGCCACGAAAAAAAAGAAAACUCAGGCAAAAACCUCGGAAAAACAAAAGGAAAAGAAAGGGCCAAAAAUCAGGCUGUCAUAGUAGUGUCAAAAACCGUCUUACAUUAUGGGACGGAGGGAGUACUACACAAAGUUACCUAUCUCUCACUUUCUCUCCUUUCGUAAAUAGACUAAACCAAGCUUUGUUUGGUGAAAUACAUGACCAAUCGCACGAGGGACAAGACGGGAGGUUGGGCAGUUCUGCACCACCCCGGUCGCCACAGCUCAGCCCCGCGUCAAUCAAAGUGACCAAAGAUCUAAGUGCAGUGAACAAGUUAUAAAUUUUUCUCUUGAGAGUAGAAAAUGAAACCACUGGAAACAAAACGCUUGACUACCAUGAAUCAAGUUUCUAGUAGUGAACUAUUUUGCAAAAAAACAACUACGUUUGCUACCAUAGUAUAAACAAAAAUUUGGCUUCGGAACAAAAACUGCAAGUUGGUGAACAAUAUACUUAACUAUCAUGAACAGAAAAAAAUAUGUGAAUGUGAAUACAUUUUUUAAGUAGAGUGGACAAAUUUCAACAUGAAAAGAAAAGGAAAUAAAACUAUAAAGAACGGGAGGUUGGACUGUGGCGGACAAUUUUUUUCUUACUGCAAUGAACCAACAUUUUAAGUGUAAUGGAUACAUUCUUUAAGUAGACCGAACCAAAAUUUUGACUUCAACACCAAAAUUUAAAUCAUGAUGAACAAAAACUAUAACCGCACUAUGAACAAUAAAUUUUGGACGCCGAUGCCGCACGACUUGUUCGGUACGAGGGGAUUGAUCCCCCCGCAUGAAUUCAUUCGGCAGGGGGAAUCCAUAGCCCACAGGCCUCCAUCACACCAGACCCUUUCCCUGUGAAAAAAAGGAACAUAAAACCCGCUGACGGCGAAUUAAAUGAAAAGACCCAGAUUAUUUUUCCGUGACAAAUAGAAGCCCAGAUUUUGCUCGGCUACUAAAAAAUGCCAUCAUCUUUAAAAAGCAUCAAAAUGAAAAAAAAAAUCCAAAAAUGCCAUUCAAGAUUGACCAAACUAUUUGCCAUUAUAUUCUUUUUUUACAAUGGCAAGGUUUGUAAACACAUAUUUGAUUCCCCAAUAAAGCAUGGCAAAUCUGCCAUGACAAAAAAAAAAU